UUUGACUUUUCCUCCCAACCUAACAUCACUUGAAAUUUGGAAGGUCAAGAGCUGUAAGUCAUUGUGGGAGUUGGAGUGGGGGUUGCACAGACUCACCUCUCUUAGAAAGUUGGGGAUCAGUGGAAAAAACACACGUACGGUGUCGUUUCCACCUGACAUAGUCCGGAUGGAGCCGCUCCUCCCCAAAUCUCUCACUGAACUCAGAAUAGAAGGCUUCCCGAAUCUGAAGAGACUGAGCAGCAAGGGCUUUCAAUUCCUCAACUCCCUUCAAUCUCUGCAACUCUCUAGAUGUCCAAAGCUAGCAUUCAUUCCAGAGGAGGGUCUGCCUCCUUCACUUGGUCAGCUUAUCAUCUAUAAGUGUCCUGUGCUAAAAGUGAGAUGCCAACCAGGAAAAGGACUCUACUGGCACAAAAUAUCCAACAUCCCUAAAAUAGAGAUACAUGAAGCUAAUGGUCCAGGUAUCAUCUCUCGAGGAAUGUUUUAAUAUUAAUAUUAUUAUUAUUAUUAUUAUUAUUAAUCAUGUUUAUUCUUGUAAAGUAAUCCACAAUAUUUGGUUUGGGUCAAGGUUUUGGGGGUUGAGGAGUGGCUGCUUUAGGAGGCCUUCAAUUGGCGACAACCUGGAUACUUCUCGGCCAACGUUUCUUCUCCCGGAUUCCUAUGUUUGCUGAUAGCACUACCCUUUCAAAUUUUAUUAGGUCGAGCUUUUUUCAAUUUUCAAAUUUAAACAUUUUUUUGGGUCAACAGUCCAAUAAUUCGAACUUGUUUUAUCUUUCAUUAAGAUAAUUCUACCAAAAACCUGACCUCAUUUUGUAUCAAGCUUGAGCUUUUAUGAAAUCAUUUGAGUCAAACUUGAGCACAUAUUUACGAGCUUUAUUUGGGACUGACCGAAUUUGAAUCUUGAGCAAUGUUUGUUAAACCAAGGUCAUUUAAUUACGAUCUGAGUUAUUAAUAAGUUGUGUUGUUUUGUGUUGGGUUAGUGGGUCUUGCAAGACAUUGCUUGAUGUUUAAAUUUGACAAACAAUAUUUUAUCAAGUUCUUGAUUCUACAAGUAUCCAACUCGUUAAAAGGUUCUUAAUGAGCAGCUUGAUAACGAAUCGACUUGUUAACAUAUUAACUCGAAACCUGCUAUUUUUAUGUUGUUUUAUAUCGAAUUAACGGGUCGUGUAAAAAAUUAUCAAACCUAACCGGAUCAUGCCAAACUAUUGAUGGUCAAUGACUUAUUUGAAAGUGAUUUUAAAGUGACUGAAAUUGAUUUCAGAUUCCAAAAACACUUUUUAAGUGCUUUUUGGAAUAAUCUUGGGCGUCUCCACCCAUUGCCAAUUGGUUUCGGGUUGGAUGCUCAAUUUGUAAUUAGAAUAACAGGUAUUGUUGUUUUUUUUUAUUAUCUUUCAUUGUUUGAGUGGGGGAUAUAAUCUUUAUACAAAUUGCUUCCUCAUGGUUUUUAUGACUGGUUUCUGUAUCUACUUUUAAUGCUUAGUACAUUAAGGGCAUCGGGUACUUCCUAAGUUCUCAUGGUCAAGUGUUUGUAUGGUUCUGUAUGUAUGUUUGUGAUCUUCAUCCCGACUUUGAAUGCGUAAACUAGAUGGAUGAAGAGGUUUUGUUGUUAUUGCCUUGCCCAACACAAGGAUUUCUUUAAGGGCUAAAUAGAUUUCUUUUAACUGGGUUCUUAUGUCUUCGACGAAGGUUAGAGUUCUUUAUCCUUUUUGGUAUUUCAGUCAAUUGGUGUAUCUUUCGACAUCUGUGCUAAGUGCUUCGUGAAAAUUGAUAUAUGUUGUCUAAAUGGUUGUGUUUCAGUUGCCUUUUCUGAGCUUCUUCCUUCCUGUCUGAUAUCUAUUUUCUAUCCUUCGUCAUAGGAUAUUAGCUCCAUGGUGUGCUGGUUGCUUUAUGUUUGUAUAUUCUCGUGUUUUUUCAUUACAGUGUUGAACUCAGUGAAAUGCUAGUAUGAAUUGGAGUGGUUCCCAUUGUCUUUGAGUGAUUCCUAUCACAACAAUCAGGGAGGAAAUCCCUCUCUUUUUUUCACUCUAGGACUAUCCAAAAGAUGCAGCACUGAAGAAGAGUUAGGACUUUAACUCAGUGUCGCAAAAACCUACUACCAAGAGAAAGUUUGUAAGCACUUAUGUUCCGACUCAGAUCCUUACCAAAGUUUUUUUGAAAGUUGAAAUGAUAUAGCACUAGGCCCAAGGUUGAGAGCAGGUUAGAAUUGUUAGAUUGGUGUUUGGCAUGUAAAGACUAGUGGUAUGAUAUUGGGGUACGUUUUUAGGUAUAUGGGGCCAGUACCUGUAAGCUUGAAGACAACCUAAAUAUGCCCGGGAUGUAACAGAGUGCUUGCCUAUACUUCUGUUUUUGUAGUUAAGAGAACGUAAUUGCUUAGCAAUCAUUAAAUUUGUAUACUUAUUACUUGGGUGCCCUCUGCCUUGCUAUGCUGCAUAACAAUGAGAAUAUAUUACGGAAUUCUAACAGGAAAAAGGCAGGGGACUCCCAAAAUUUGGUGAAUGGGACGUCAAUGAUCCUGCUUCGGCUGAGGGGUUUACUGUGAUCUUUAACAAGGCUAGGGAUGAGAAGAAGACAGGUGGAAAACCCGAGUCACCAGGAAAGGUUGAUCCUAAUAUCAGGCAUGGAGGAGGAGUGGAUCCUGGCACUAGCAGGCCUUCGUCUGUAAGAUUUUUUCUCAUAACUGUUGUCGUUUCUUUCUCUAAUGAUUUGAUAUAUACAUGGGUCAGCCAAUAGAAAUACAUUCUUUGCGGUUUUCUUAGUUGCAAGUUAUUGCUUUUCAAGUGACGUUGGUAGUACAAAAUACAACUAUAUGUAACACUGACUUAUCGAUCAAACUCAGCAUACCAUUUGAUGUGAAAAUCAAUGCAACUGACUUAUAUAGAACUCUAGUAAGGAAAUGUGGCAAAAGACAUAUCUAAUGUUAGGGCCAAGAUAUUUGAAAAAUAAAAGAGCACAAGAUGAUUCGGCUGUUUUAUCUGGAUUAUUCCAUGCAAGUGGAAUUGGCAUACAUUAACUCGGGUUCUGUCUCCUUUUAGACAGAUGUAGCCUAAUAGGAAUAUUUGUUUGUUUUAUUGUGAAUAAUUGAAAGAACCAAUGGCCCUGGAAAUAUUUGCUUUUGUCAAUUGAUCAUUGUGUGACCUUUUCGUUUUUUCUAUGCGUUUUCUGUACCUGCUGCGUUUCCAAUAGUAGACUAAUAGAAUGAAUAACUGGAGGUGAUUAUUUCUGCUGCCAAAAUCUAAUAUGCUUAAAUUCCUCACUCUUUGCGGAUGAUUUGAUUUGGUUUGAUUUCCUGAUGCACAGAAAAAAUGGUUUUGCUGCAUUCAUCAACCACCGGCAGAGUUUUGACAAUGUUGUUCUCCUAAGUGCUUCGAUGGAGGAGCACGAUGUUCUGUAACUGGCUCCACUAUAUUUCCUCACUUAAUCUAUGUCUAUGAAAUUGGCAGCUAGGGAAGUGAAGUUUGAAGCAAUGGUUAGCAGUUUGCCUAAGGAAAUCGUACAUGAUAUCCUUUUGAGACUACCUCCUAAAGCUUUGAUCAGAUGCACCUCGGUGUCCAAGCCUUGGAACUCCAUGAUAAAAAGUCCAAGCUUUAUUCGCACCCACCUCAGCCUUACCAUCGAUUUUAACCAGUUUGGCACCCACCAACUCCUUCUGCAUUGUGUUCGUGGAGACAAUCCAGUGGAGCAGAAUUACUAUUUGCAUUAUGAUAACCAUGCUUUUGAUGAGUACUGCAAGCUAGAGUAUCCAAGUGUUCCCAAGCGCAAUAGAUUUCUUCGUGUGGUCGGAAUGCGAGGAUCCGAAUGCUUUUUAUGAGGCUUAUUCACUUGCUAGAGGCUUGUGGAGUAGUCCUCGUUCUUUUGAUCCCGUUUGUAAAGUUUUAUUCUUGCAAAUUUCAGGCUUUUGUGAACGGGGCAGUUCAUUGGCUGGCAUGGCGCUGCUUGAACGAUGGUCGUUAUCAAAAUUUCAUUUUAGCAAUUGAUGUGGACGGUGAGUUAUUUUGCGAGAUAAGGGUGCUAAAGAGUUUCAGACAGGAUGAACCAUUAGAUUAUCACUUGUCUGUUUCAGGUGAUGGAAACUCCAUUGCUAUGUUCACGACGACGCGUGGUCGUAAUUGUCCUGAGGAUUUUCUUGACAUAUGGGUGAUGAAAGAGUAUGGCAUCGAGGAUUCAUGGGCCAAACUGAUAACUCUCCACCGUAUCCGGAAACAAGGGUGCCCUACAAGCCCUUAUGUUUUAGGAACAGUGGUGAAGUGGUGUCCUGACUUUAUCACUUGUUCUAGAAAAAAACGUCGCAUGUACUGGGAUUUUCUCCGGGAUGCCUUGUGAUAUUCUGACAUUGCUGGAUUCUUGUUAGAGAUGAACAUUUUUCCUUCUGUUUGUCUGUUAAUUUACAGACCUAGAAGAAGUUGCUUAUCACAUGUUGCCAAUGUUCAUGGAUAUAUACAGUUAUAUUAAUUUCCUUGAAAUUUCUUGUGACAUUUUUUUAGCUCUAAUAAGAUUUAUCUCUCGUCACAAGACUUUUACAAUAACUUGUGCUCCUAUGGUCUACCAAAAUAAUAAUAUUGCAGUAGAGACUAGUAGUCUAUUAUUAAUUGUGUGUUCAACUUAAAGCAGCGAGAAAAAUGUGUACCUUUUUCUUUUCUUUUUUUUCAAAGAAUUUUUUAUCUUUUUCCUCUGGGAGGAGGAUUGUCUGCCCUCCUAGUUUCAGUGCCCUUCCAUGCCAUCUUGAUUGUGUGGUCAUGGUUAAGCCACGUUAAUAUUUUAUAUUACUAUUUAUUUUUGUCUUAUUAUAUCUAUAAAAAAACAAUAUAAAAUAAUGAUGUGGCUUAACCGUGACCACACAAAACAGGAGGGCAUGGAAGAGCAUUGAAACUAGGAGGGCAGACAAUCCUCCUCCCUUCCUCUGACCCUUGCAUGCAGGUUUGGCAGUAAAGUAAGAGUUUCCACGCAAUUAAAAUAAUGGCAAACUAGUCUUUCGGUUUUGCACGAAGAUAGGAUAAUUUAUACUAAAUUAUUUUUUUGUCUUUUAUUAAAGAAUCAUUUAAAAAAAAAAGUUUUUAAGUGUUUGGGAUCUUUUAAAUACCAAUUUCAAUACAGCUAUUAGUUCAAGUAACAUAAUUUUUAGUUUAGGUACCAAUGAAAAAAUCAACUAAAAUAAUUCUAUAAAUACUAUUAUAAUUCAAAAUAAUUAUAUGAUUGCCGUGUUUUCCGACCAGCCAACUGUAUUCGCAACCACCUCACCCUUACAAUCAAUCUUAAUAACCAGGUUUCGACUAACCUCCUUGUACUGCAUUGUAAACGCAUACAUGAGCCAAGGGAGGAGCAUUACUAUUUUUGCAUUAUGAUAAAUAACCAUGAUUUUGAUGGGUAAUGUAGACUAGAAUUUCCAAUCAUUCCGAAGGGAGAAUGGUUCAAUAUGACCUAUAGACUACAAGAACUCAAAUUCCUUAUUUGUUAUCUUCUGUAAACCAUUCAUCAGAGCUCUUGACAGGCAGUGACCAUAUUUGAGGAAUGACUAGACGCAUGUUGGGGCGCCAUCAUGACUUCAUGGGUGAACAAUAGAAUUUCGUGUGUAAGUUUCUCUCCACAUACAUCGUGUUAACUUUGUUUUUCUAGUUUCCUAGCAUGUUCCAGUUCGUGCAUUUUCAGUUUUUGGAUAGUGGAAAGGUCAAGUUGGUAGCAAAUUGACACGGCGAAGACGUAAGUCUAAAAUUCAUUGUCACUAAUUCAAUUUACCAAGCUUAAUUGGCCUCUCUUAACCUACAAAAUUGUCAUAAUAAACUAGUAAUUUCACUUCAUGAAAAUCUUGCUCAAUGUUGUUUGACUUGUUUCCCUUCCUAAACAUCGAGAUGUUCGUUAAUUAUAUGCUAAUAAGUUCAUCUUCAAAUGGAUCAUAAAUUAAUAUAGCUAUGUGACUAAUUAAGUAGUAUAACUCCAAAAUGGUAAAGCAUAAUCCAUGAUAAUUUUGGUAAAUCUGGUGUCGGCAGGAUCAUGUUCAUCUUCUUCGUGUUGUGUGGCUCAGGUUGUUUAAGAGUUUUUUACUAUUUUAAAUUGAUUCUCUAUAUUAUCUACAAUGGCCUACAAAAAACUGAACCAAACACCCCCACAAAGGAAAGGGGUCCUUUUCAGAUCCUUUCGACCUAAUUAUCUUCAUCAAAUAAUCCGUGUUCUUAAAAUUUGAUUCAACAACUAAAAACACGGAUCUAUUUUAAAAAUUAUAAUAACUUUAGUUGUUGAAUCAGAUUUCAAGAACCUUAAUAAAGAAGAUUAGGUAAAAGGAAUCAAGAAAUGAUCCCUUUCGAUCACAAAAUAAUAUAAUCGGUGUUGAAAGGAAUGUAGCUCAGUUGUUUACCAGCAGUCACUCAUAACGUUUGGUUCCCCCCCAAAAUCGGUGUUGAAAUGAUCCCUUUCUCUCACACUCUUUUUUUUUUACUUCUCACAUACCUCUUGUUAACUUCUGUCAUUUGAUCUACUUCCAUUUAUCCGAUCCAACGGUCAAAAAUUAAAAGGGUGUGUGAGAGGUAAAAAUUGGUGUAUAGAUAUCACACCCUUUUACUAAAUCCUAAAUUGUACAACUCCUUCAAAUAUAUCAAGGACGAAUAUGGUAUCUUCUACAAACCAUCCAGUAGAGCUCUCAGCAUGCAAUGACCAUAUUUAGGGAAUGGACUAGACACAUGUUGGGGCAUUAUCAUGACAUCAUGGGUUAACAAUACAAUUUGUGUUUAGUCUCUCUUCACAUACAUUACGUUAACUUAGUUUUUCUACUUUCUUAGCAUGUUCGGGUUCGUGCAUUUUCACCUUUUGGGUAGUGGAAAGGUCAAGUUGUUGGGAGACUUAUUAGUAAAAAGCAAAUUCACACGGCAAGACAUAAAUCUAAAAUUACUUGUCACUAAUUCAAUUCCACUGAAUUUAAUUCUUCUCUCUUAAUCUUCAAAAUUAACAUAAUAAGCUAGUAAAUUUCACUUCAUGAAAAUCUUGCUCAAUGUUGUUUGACUUGUUUCCUUUCUUUAACAGCUAGAUGUCCAUUAAUUAUAUGCUAAUAAAACUUGCUCUUCAUCUUCAAUUGAUCUAAUAUAGCUUUGUGACUAAUUAAGUAGUAUAACUACAAGAUGGUAAACAAUAAUCCAUGGUAACUUUUUGCAGGAUUAUUUUCUACUUCUUUGUGUUGUGUGGCUCAGGCUGUUUGAGAGUCUCAACAUUAUCUACCAUGGCCUAUAAAAUUGAACCAAUCACCAUCUCAAAAUAAAAUAAUCGGUAUUGCAAGGAAAUGCAACUCGGUUGUUUACGAGCAAUCACUCUUCCACCCUGAGUUGCGUGUUUGGUUCCUCAUCUCCCAAAAUCGUUCGUAUAAAGGAAAAGAAAAGUAUAACCGUGUGGGACAUAGGAGAUAAGAAAGCAAUUAAAAAGAUAAAACAGCAUGAUCAUGACCCCACAAAAAAAUAAAGAGAAAGUAAAAAGAGGAAGACUUGCUGUGGUCUUUCAACACCUAAUCCUCAUUGCAAAUUGAAGAGCUCUAAAGUGGUCUGGAUCUGUUGAUUUUCAUAAUCUAUGGAAAACAAGUCCCUUCAUCUUCAUCAUCAUCUGAAAACUUGAACGCAGUAAGUUCCUCUUGCAACUAUAUAUGCGGAAUCCAUUAUUUAUAAAUUAAUUAUUUCAUUUUUCUUCAAGAUUGUAUGCUUAAUUAAUUAUUUCAUCGAUAACCAGCUAUAUAAUUUGUUCAGUUUUCAGCCUUAAUUAUUCCAUCAUUCAGUUUGGAUUUAUUGAUCAUCAGUGCAAACAAGCGCCCUCAUGACCUGACAGACUUCCAUGAAACUGCUUCUUGCUACAGAUCUUGUCCAAUAUCCGUGCAGAUUUCGAGUCUUGAAACGUAGGAUUGCAAGGUAAUCCCAAAACUGCCCCAUUUUAUUUGUUCAACAUGUUAAAAUUUAAGAAAAAUGAUGCAUUGCUUACUAGCAUGAUUUUUUCAAUCUUGAGUUUUUAUGGUGUGUUUUAUUGUGCCUUAUCAUUGAGUAAUAUUAUGGUGUACGUGUUUUUCUUUUGACAAACGAUAACGUUAGUAGGUUAAAUUGUUAGUCCCGUACUGGAACACCAACCAGGUUACCCAAAAAAUGAUUCACACACCCAUCUUUAUUCUAUAACUUAAUUCCAUGCUUGUCCCUCGAUACUCGUGAGCGAAAGGGAGGGUCCAAGCGGAUAUGAAAAUGAUCUAUUACUCCAAAGUCUACUUCAUAUGGCCAAUUAUUAGGUGUGUGAUCCUCAUCAUCAACUAUACUUUUUAUAAGGAAUAUCAUUCAUAACCCAGCUAUAAGCAUGCCGAUAUCGUUGAAAGCAUUAAAACAAUGAAAAAUAUGAAGUCUUACCCAGUGGCAGAUCGAAGAUUUUAAUAUCGGUGGUCCUAAUAUAAAGGCCCUAAAAAAUAUUAAGCGAAAAAUAAUAUUGAAAAUUAAAUGCUAGACUACAAUUUUUCAUUCAUAAUUUUUGUACAAACAACAUUACAAGCUACAAAGUACAAAGACUUAUUUGUCAACGAUGAGGUAUGCGUAAUAUCGUUCCAUACUUCUAAUUUCUACACAUAUCAAUUACUCAAAACAAAAAAAAAACAUAUUAAUUGAUGAAGCUAAAAGAAAAAAAAUACCUAUAACUAUUAUGAAUUUAACAUUCUACAACAACAACAACAACAACAACAAAGCCUUUUCCCACUAAGUGGGGUCGGCUAUAUGAAUCCUAGAACGCCAUUGCGCUCGGUUUUGUGUCAUGUCCUCCGUUAGAUCCAAGUACUCUAAGUCUUUUCUUAGAGUCUCUUCCAAAGUUGUCCUAGGUCUUCCUCUACCCCUUCGGCCCUGAACCUCUGUCCCGUAGUCACAUCUUCGAACCGGAGCGUCAGUCGGCCUUCUUUGCACAUGUUCAAAAUCACCGGAGCCGAUUUUCUCUCAUCUUUCCUACAAUUUCGGCUACUCCUACUUUACCUCGGAUAUCCUCAUUCCCAAUCUUAUCCUUUCUCGUGUGCCCACACAUCCCACGAAGCAUCCUCAUCUCCGCUACACCCAUUUUGUGUACGUGUUGAUGCUUCACCACCCAACAUUCUAUGCCAUACAACAUCGCUAGCCUUAUUGCCGUCCUAUAAAAUUUUCCCUUGAGCUUCAGUGGCCUACGACGGUCACACAACACGCCGGAUGCACUCUUUCCAUCCAGCUCGUAUUCUAUGGUUGAGAUCUCCAUCUAAUUCUCCGUUCUCUUGCAAGAUAGAUCCUAGGUAGCGAAAAACGAUCGCUUUUUGUGAUCUUCGCUAGAUUGCUCCGGUCAUUAGUGUGGAUAAGUAUAUAAAUGGAUAGAGAUAGGAAAGCAAACACAAGAUGUACGUGGUUCACCCAGAUUGGCUACGUCCACGGAAUAGAAGAGUUCUCAUUAAUUGUGAAGGGUUUACACAAGUACAUAGGUUCAAGCUCUCAUUUAGUGAGUACAAGUGAAUGAUUUAGUACAAAUGACAUUAGGAAAUAUUGUGGGAGAAUGAUCUCGUAAUCACGAAACUUCUAAGUAUCGGAGUGUGGUGUCGUCUUGACUUGCCUUAUCUAUCUCAUAGGUAGAUGUGGCAUCUUCUCUGGAAGUACUCUUCCUCCAUCCAGGGGUGGUAUCUUUAACUGGUGGAGAUGCACAAGGUAAUGUAUCAAUUUCACUUGAAGCUUACUUGUAGUUUCAGGCUUGGUCAAGCGCGAUACAAACCAUGUAGUAGGAGUCCCCCAAGUCGCCGAGCUAGGGGGUCUGCUGAAAGAGGUGACAGACAAGGUAAGCAAUCAGAGCUCCGACUGAUUGUUCACCUUCUCCCCAUCUUGCAGCAGCAUGAAGGAUAAAGAGAAGAAAAAUGAGAAGAGAUGAUAUGAGAUACUUUUGCUUUUGAAGAAGUAACUUUCCACAGGCUUAUUCUUGAACUGAGCUGGAGGGUUUUCUGGUUUCCUCCAGAGUAUAAGGCCGACUGAAGAAUUUGAGGGUCAAAACAAGUCCAUCAAAUCUAGAGUACGUUCCACCCUGCUGAUAUGGGAUACUUUUGCUUUUGACAGAGUAAUGAAUGUAUCGACCCGUGUGCUGUUACGCUUGUCUCCACAUGCUUCCUUGUAUCCUUCGCACUUGCCCUAUCUGUUCCUCAAGCAGAUGCGGAAUCUUCCCUGGAAACAUAAGAUGUUGAAGAUGAGUACUCGAGAGCAAUGCCAGGUAAGUAAUCAGGUAAGGGGUUCCAGGCAGUCAGUUCCUGGCUGGAAGCUUGAUUCCAAGUGCUGACUGAUUGCUCUCUUUCUCCUUGUCUUGCAGGUAAAAAACAAGGCCAAAAGAAAAGACAGGGAAAAAGCAUGAUAUGGGAUACUCUUGCUUUUAACCCUGAUGAUAUGAGAUAUUCUUGCUCUAGUAUAGCUUGUUUGCAGAGGUAUUAUCGGGGGGAAAGAAAGCUGAAAUAUUUCGAAAGGCUUCGUUGGGAGUGCCCUCUCAAAUAUGAUGAAGGGUUGAGCAUUUUUGCAGGUCUGCCUGUCCGUUGGGGAUGGAGGUCGACAUAUAUAGGAGUCUCCCUAACAACAAGUAGUAAUGCUAUUCCUUUACCCUGCUUGGUCAUAGCACGGUAGUGGGAGCUGCCAGUUUCACAUGUUUUAACUCUGUCAGAGCACUUUGAAAAAGUGGUCUGUGGUAUCUGGCUCUCGAGAUUUGGAGAACGAUGCCUCUUCGAUUUUUGAGAAAGCAAUCAUGCUGGGGGUAUGACUCUCGAGAUUCGGAGAGCAGUGUCUCUUCGAUUUUUGAGGAAGUAAUCAUGUUGGGAGUCUGGCUCUCGAGAUUCGGAGGGCGGUGCCUCUUCGAUUUUGGAGCAAACAAUCUUGUUGGGAGUGUUGUCUCGAAUGUGAGUAAAGGUUGGGCAUGUUUGCUAGUCUACCUUGCCACGAAGCACAAAGGUUGACACACAGGGACUUUCCAAUUAUCCAGCAAUGGUACUGUUCCUUUACCUCUCUCUUCGAUUUUGAGAAAGUAGUCAUGUUGGGAGUCUGGCUCUCGAGAUUCGGAGGAUGGUGCCUCUUCGAUUUUGGAGCAAGCAAUCUUAUUGGGAGUGUUUUUCUCGAAUGUGAGUAAAGGUUGGGCAUGUUUGCUAGUCUACCUUGCCACGAAGCACAGAGGUUGACACACAGGGACUUUCCAAUUAUCCAGCAGUGGUACUGUUCCUUUACAGUUGUGGGUAAUAAUAUGGUAGCUAGACCUUCAAAAUUUAUGUGUCUAAACUUUUGUUAGUGCUGUUUCUUUGCUAUUCUUUUACCUUUCUUGGUCAGAGCGAUGUAGUGGGAGCUGCAAGCUUCACGUGCUCAACUUUGGCAGAGAACUUUGGCAAAGUUAUUUGUGGUACCCAUGAGCUAUUGUUGCGUGUGGGAAGUGGGUGUGAUUGAACAGUAAGAUUCAUGUGCUUUCUACUUCACCAGAAGUCUUCGACAGAAUGCCCAUAAUUUCUGCAAAGCUGAGUGUGCGUGUGACAGGUGCUGACAAGGCUAGAAAAGUAGGUGCCUCUUCGAUUUCUGAGAUCGGCCCUCGUGGUCUCUGAGCAGCCCAGCUUUUGAGAAAGCGAGCGCCUCUUCGAUUGAUUCGGAGAACGAUGCCUCAUCGAUUUUUGAGAAAGCAAUCAUGCUGGGGGUCUGGCUCUCGAGAUUCGGGGAGCAGUGUCUCUUCGAUUUUUGAGAAAGUAAUCAUGUUGGGAGUCUGGCUCUCGAGAUUCGGAGGGCGGUGCCUCUUCGAUUUUGGAGCAAGCAAUCUUGUUGGGAGUGUUUUCUCGAAUGUGAGUAAAGGUUGGGCAUGUUUGCUAGUCUACCUUGCCACGAAGCACAGAGGUUGACACACAGGGAGUUUCCAAUUAUCCAGCAAUGGUACUGUUCCUUUACCCUCUCUUCGAUUUUUAAGAAAGUAGUCAUGUUGGGAGUCUGGCUCUCGAGAUUCGGAGGACGGUGCCUCUUCGAUUUUGGAGCAAGCAAUCUUAUUGGGAGUGUUUUCUCGAAUGUGAGUAAAGGUUGGGCAUGUUUGCUAGUCUACCUUGCCACGAAGCACAGAGGUUGACACACAGGGACUUUCCAAUUAUCCAGCAGUGGUACUGUUCCUUUACCCUUGUGGGUAAUAAUAUGGUAGUUAGACCUUCAAAAUUUAUGGGUCUAAACUUUGUUAGUGCUGUUUCUUUGCUAUUCUUUUACCCUUCUUGGUCAGAGCGAUGUAGUGGGAGCUGCAAGCUUCACGUGCUCAACUUUGGCAGAGAACUUUGGCAAAGUUAUCUGUGGUACCCAUGAGCUAUUGUUGCGUGUGGGAAGUGGGUGAUUGAACAGUAAGAUUCAUGUGUUUUCUACUUCCCCAGAAGUCUUUGACAGAAUGCCCAUAAUUUCCGCAAAACUGAGUGUGCGUGUGACAGGUGCUGACAAGGCUGGAAAAGGCUGGAAAAAGUAGGUGCCUCUUCGAUUUCUGAUAUCGGCCCUCGUGGUCUCUGGGGAGCCCAGCUUUUGAGAAAGCGAGCGCCUCUUCGAUUUUUGAGAUCGGCCUUCGUGGUCUUUGAGCAGCCCAACUUUUGAGAAAGCAAACGCCUCUUCGAUUUCUGAGAUCAACCCUCGUGAUCUCUAAGCAGCCCAGCUUUUGAGAAAGCAAACGCCUCUUCGAUUUCUGAGCAGGCGCCUCUUCGAUUUCUGAAGCUUCGUCGAGUGCAGAUUUUUAUAGGGGCUGGCAUUAAGUUCCAAAGCACACUUGAAUCUCCACCAGUAGAAGCUUCAUUCUUGCACUUCUAAGAUCUUGAUUUGUCCGACCUCUUCUCUCUUCAACACCUUUGAAAAUGUCUGGCCCCUCCGACCGUCGUUUUGACUUGAACCUUGUUGAAGAGGCAGCCCCGCCUUCUCCAGACAACAUAUGGCGCCCAUCCUUCGUCUCCCCUACUGGUCCUCUUACCGUUGGGGAUUCCGUGAUGAAGAAUGAUAUGACCGCUGCGGUGGUGGCCAGGAACCUUCUCACUCCCAAAGAUAACAGACUACUUUCCAAACGGUCUGAUGAGUUAGCUGUUAAGGAUUCGCUGGCUCUCAGUGUUCAGUGUGCAGGUUCUGUGUCUAAUAUGGCCCAACGCCUAUUUGCUCGAACCCGCCAAGUUGAAUCAUUGGCGGCUGAAGUGAUGAGUCUCAAACAGGAGAUUAGAGGGCUCAAGCAUGAGAAUAAACAGUUGCACCGGCUCGCACAUGACUAUGCUACAAACAUGAAGAGGAAGCUUGACCAGAUGAAGGAAACUGAUGGUCAGGUUUUACUUGAUCAUCAGAGAUUUGUGGGUUUGUUCCAAAGGCAUUUAUUGCCUUCGUCUUCUGGGGCUGUACCGCGUAAUGAAGCUCCAAAUGAUCAACCUCUGAUGCCUCCUCCUUCUAGGGUUCUGUCCAGUACUGAGGCUCCAAAUGAUCCCCCUCCGGUGCCUUCUCUUUCUGGGGCUCUACCGACUGCUGAGACUUCUCCUAAGCAACCUUUGUGAAGGCUCCCUCUUGUGUGCUUAUUUUGACUCAUGUAUAUGUACAUAUUUGUAGCUUAUCGGGGAUAUCAAUAAAUAAGCUUUCCUUGUACAUAUUUGUAGCUUAUCGGGGAUAUCAAAAAAUCAUAAUAGUUAAAACAAUACCUAUAAUUAUUAUGAAUUUAACAUUCUACAUGAUUAAUUUAGACUAAAAUAAAAAUCUCAGUUAAAUUUAGAAACGAGGGGAUUAAGUGGUGGUGAAGAAAGGACAGCAGAAUGGUAGGUUAUGUCGGUGGUGUGGACCGUGUGAUCAAUCUGAUCGUGGUUUGUGGAGACUGGAGAGGAGACUGGUAUUGUGCUGAUGGUCUUCGGUUGGGACAAGGAUUGUCUGCCCUUCCACUUCCGGUGUCCUUCCGUGUCCUCCUGUUUUGUGUGGUCACAGUUAAGCCAAGUUAACAUUUUAUAUUGUUUUUUUAUAGAGAUAAUAAGACAAAAAUGAAUAGUAAUAUAAAAUGUUGACGUGACUUAACCGUGACCAUACAAAUAAGAGGGCACGAGAGGGCAUUGGAAGUGGGAGGGUAGACAAUCCUUGUCCCUUCGGUUGAGUGGGGUGGGGUUUUCAAGCUACGCAUCAAAACACACCGUUUUACUUAAAUGACUUGACUCCUUUAAAAAGAAAAAAAAGAAAAAAAAGAAAAAAAAAAAACUUCUUCUCUCCAUCUCGGUUGCAGAAUACCAGAAGACCCACCAGAAGUCAGAACACGGUGCGGCCCCACUCUUCUUCUCCUCCACCACACUUGGUGGUCCACGGAGGUCCUUGCAGCCACUUGUUCGGGCUUCCGGAUGGUCCCAAGACCACCCAAGUCUCUUAGUAGAUGGUAUUACCUCAUGUGAAGCUUCCGAAACAACUUUGAUAUAUUUUUCUCAAAUUAUUAUGAUUGGUUGAAAUUUUUUUUUUAAUUUCCAGCCACGUUAAUUAAGGAUGAAUCAUUUUAUCUCUUAUUUAAGAAUAUUUGUUAAAAACAAAUGUAAAAAUAUUUGUUCCUUGAUCCUAACUUAUUUUGUAUAUAUUAGGAAAAAGAACAUUUCCAUAAAACGUAACAGGACUGCAUACCUGACGGGACGGUUAUGGUGUAGGCAAUCCCUAGCCAUUCCCAAAUUGUCACCUCUAGAUAUGCUUUGCUAGGAGUCCAUUAAUUGAUUACUUCACUGUUACUAUAAAUUUGUAUGUGAUUGCGCAGGCAUCAAUAAUUACUUCUCAUCAUUUUAAUUUGUGCAGUUGUGACUAUUUCUGAGCCUCAACAGAUCAAGCUUCCAAAUUUCCAAGGAACUAGUCUUUGGCUGUUACUCUUCCCUUCGUUGAGUUCUGCACCUCAAUAUUGCUCAAGAACGUUUCACUAUUUCUUUGAUUUCUUGGAGUGCCCUUCACUCUUAACAUGGCACUGGGAGAGGGUUUUCUUGCGGCGUUUCUAAAGGUGCUGCUCAACAGGUUGACCUCCCGCGAGAUUCUCAACUACAUUGGAAACUUCCGGGGCGUCAGAAAGAAGCUGGACAAGUGGAGGGCCGUGUUAACUGCAAUAGGAGCGGUGCUCAGCGAUGCCGAGGAAAAACAACUCACUGAGGAUGCUGUGAAACUGUGGCUCGAUGAUCUCAGAGACUUGGCUUAUGAUGUCGAAGACAUGUUGGACAAAUUUGACACCCAAAUGUUGAAGCGCAUGAUAGAGGGACGUGAUCAAGCCCGCACAAGCAACAAGGUGCGGACCUCACUUUUCAAAAUUAAAUUCAAUAGGGAUAUGAACUCCGAAAUGAAGAAGAUUACGGAGCGGUUGCAAGACAUAUCUGAACGGAAAGAGAAGUUUGGCUUGAAAGAUACUGGGACGUCUGCUAAGGAAUCGCGAAGUCUACCAAGUUCAGAUGUGUUAGAUGAAAAGCUAGUUGUUGGAAGGGAUGGUGACAAAGGGGAGAUUAUUGAAUUGUUGUCAAGAAAAUACGAGCAUGAAGGUGCUGUCAAUUUUGGUGUAGUUGCUAUAGUUGGCAUGCCCGGAGUUGGGAAGAUGACACUUGCUCAACUUGUAUUCAACCACAAAGAUGAUGCCAUGAAGGAGUUUGAGCCUAAGGUGUGGGUAUCUGUGUCUGAUGACUUCAAUGUGGUGCGAGUGACAAAGGCAAUUCUUGAAUCCAUCACAUCCCGACCCGUUCAAAUGGAGGAGUUUAGUAAAAUUCAGCAUGAUUUGUGUGAGCAAUUAAGAGGAAAAAAGUUUUUAAUCGUGUUAGAUGAUAUCUGGAACAAAGGCGACUAUGAUCUACACGAUCUCUGGACAAGACUUAAAUCCCCUUUUGGCGUCGGAGCAGGAGGAAGUAAGAUUAUUGUGACAACCCGUGAUGUGCAUGUUGCAAGGACUAUGGGAGCCACGGGAGUUCAUAAUUUGGAAUGUAUGGCAGAUGAUGAUUGUUUGGAAAUAUUUGAGCGACAUGCAUUUGGGGAAGUUAAUAGUGUAAAACCAGUAAAUUAUGAGUUGAUUCGGACAAAAAUUGUUGAAAAAUGUUGUGGCUUACCAUUAGCUGCGAGGACUCUCGGUGGUCUCUUACUUUGCAAAGAAAAAGAUGAGUGGGGAGAAAUAUUGGACAACAAACUAUGGAAUCUUGCAGAUAACAGUAGCCUUCUCCCCGUACUAAAGUUGAGCUAUCACUAUCUUCCAUCACAUUUGAAGAGGUGUUUUGCCUACUGCUCAAUACUUCCAAAUGACUACGAAUUUUGGGAGAAGCGGCUCGUCCUUUUGUGGAUGGCAGAGGGUUUGAUUCAACAAAAACCUGAUGACAAUAAACAAAUGGAGGAUUUGGGCCGCGACUACUUUCGAGAGCUAUUAGCAAGGUCGCUGUUUCAAGAAUCAAGCAAAACCAAUUCAAGAUAUGUAAUGCAUGACCUCGUUAAUGAUUUAGCACAUUGGGCAGCAGGAGAAAUAUGUUUUAGGUUGGAAGAUAAGCAAGGUGAUAACUUGCAAAGCACUUGCUUUCAAAGGGCUCGCCAUUCGUCUUUCAUUGCUGGUGAAUUUGAUGGAGUUACGAGAUUUGAGGACUUCCCAAAAGCUGAACGCUUGCGAACAUUCCUGCCACUUUCACUUUCAGAUUCUGGUGGAUGGUACAAAUGUUUGUCUCGUAAGGUUACUUUUGAGCUAUUACCACAGUUGCAAUACUUACGAGUGCUCUCGUUCAAUUGCUACACAAUAACUGAGCUGCCAAAGUCAAUCGGUGAUUUGAGGUUGUUACAGUAUCUUGACCUUUCCUACACAGAUAUAACCUGUUUGCCUAAGUCAACAAGCACUCUUUACCACUUGCAAACAUUGAUAUUGGAAGGUUGUUCUAAAUUGAAGUCAUUGCCCACAAACAUGAGUAAUCUAAUUAAUUUGCGCCAUCUCAACAACUCAGGUGCAUAUUCGUUGGAAGGAAUGCCUUGGCAACUAGGUCGAUUGACGAAUCUACAAUCAUUGCCUCUUUUUGUGGUGAGCAAAGGUAGUGAUCAAUCAGGGAUAAGAGAGAUAGGGCCCCUAUUGCAUCUUCGAGGGACACUGUGCCUCUCAAGAUUGGAGAAUGUGACUGAUGUCAAGGAUGCCAGGAGGGCCAACUUGAAAUGCAAGGAGAGGCUUGAUUCGUUGGUCCUAAAAUGGUCUCAUUCAAGCGACACGAGAGAAACGGAAUCCGUUGUGCUUGACAUGUUAGAGCCUCAUACAAAGCUCAAGGAGCUCACCAUCAAGAGUUAUGCCGUAGAGGAAUUUUCAUCAUGGGUUGGAGGUCAUUUGUUCUCUAAUAUGGUGCUUGUGCGGUUAGAGGAAUGUAACAAUUGUUUAUCGGUGCCACCUCUCGGACAAUUGCCUCAUCUCAAAGAACUUUAUAUUAGAGGAAUGAAUGCAGUGGAAAGUGUUGGUGCUGAGUUUUAUGGCGAGUGUAUCUUGCCUUUUCCGCUGUUAGAGAUUCUUGAGUUUGUGGAUAUGUAGCAUUGGAAGGUGUGGCUUCCUUUCCAACUGGAUCACGAAAGUGCUUUUUUCCCUUGCCUGAAAAGGCUUUCAAUCAAACGAUGUUCAAAGUUGGAAGGUGAGCUGCCAGAGAAGCUCGAUUUGUUAGCCGAACUUGAAAUUGUUAAAUGUGAGGAAUUGGUGGUUUCGAUUGCCAACUACAAACAACUUCGUCAAAUAAAAAUUGACGGUUGUAAAGUGUUGGUACAUACAGAUGCUAAGGUUGAGUUUGAGUUAUUAGAGUCCUUGUGGCUUUCAAACAUUUCGGAGGUGACGUCUCUGCAAACAGGGGAAUUGUUCAGGAAGGGAUUAAGCAAGGUUAGAGAUUUGAAGAUCCAUGGAUGUGAGAAGCUGACGUCUUUAUGGAAGAAUGAGGAUGCUAAGGUUGAGUUUGAGUUAUUAGAGUCCUUGUGGCUUUCAAACAUUUCGGAGGUGACGUCUCUGCUAACAGGGGAAUUGUUCAGGAAGGGAUUAAGCAAGGUUAGAGAUUUGAAGAUCCAUGGAUGUGAGAAGUUGACGUCUUUAUGGAAGAAUGAGGCUAGAUUAUUGCAGCGGUUGACUUGUCUUGGCCGUUUGGAAAUUGAAGACAACUCUUGUCUAGUUGAAGAAUUGGGAAAAGAAGCAGAGGAGUUGAUGCAAUUGCAAAUAUUGGAGUGCAAGCUUGAAUUUCUGGAGUUAAACAAGUGCGAAAAUCUUUGGACGCUACCAAAAGGAUUAAAUCAGCUGUCGUCUCUUAAAGAGCUUCGCAUUCACGAAUGUUCACGUCUAGUUUCUUUCCCAGAUGUUGGUCUGCCACCUUCUCUUAAAGACAUUGAGAUUAUAUCGUGCGCUUCGUUGAUAUAUUUUGCAAAAUUCCAGAUUCCCCAAAAUCUAAGAAGAAUAGAUAUAAGAGAUUGCAAAAGUUUGAAAUCACUAGUAGAUGAGGAGGAAUGUGAACGACUGGGUUUAAUAGCACCGAACGGGUUCUUCAGCGACAACACCAAUCACUGCCUUGAAUAUAUUCUGAUCUCGAAUUGCCAAAAUCUGAAAUCCUUACCGGAUGGCUUAUGCCACCUCAGCAAUCUUCAAAAGCUAUAUAUUGAACUAUGUGGAAGUCUUGUUUCCAUCCCGAGACUGAGUGGGGGGAGAAGACCCUCCAACCUGAGAACGAUCUGGAUCAUCGGAUGCGACAAAUUGGAGGCGUUGCCCGAAAACAUGCACAAUCUCAACUCUCUUGAGGAUUUGAGCAUCGACUACCGUGAAGGUUUGACUUUUCCUCCCAACCUAACAUCACUUGAUCUUUGGAAGGUCAAGAGUUGUAAGUCAUUGUGGGAGUUGGAGUGGGGGUUGCACAGACUCACCUCUCUUAGAUACUUGUAUAUCGACAGUGAAGACCCGGAUACGGUGUCGUUUCCACCCGACAUGGUACGGAUGGAGACGCUCUUCCCCAAAUCUCUCACUAACCUCGCAAUAGGUGGCUUCCCGAAUCUAAAGAAACUGAGCAGCAAGGGCUUUCAAUUCCUCACCUCCCUUCAAUCUCUGAAACUCUUCCGUUGUCCAAAGCUAGCAUCUAUUCCAAAGGAGGGUCUGCCUCCUUCGCUAGAGGAACUUUGGAUCGAAGGGUGUCCAGUGCUAAAAGAGAGAUGUCAACCAGGAAAAGGACGCUACUGGCACAAAAUAUCCCACAUCCCUUACAUAAGGAUAGAUUAUAAGAAGAUAUGAAGCUGAUGGUCCAGGUAUCAUCUCUCGAGGAAUGUUUUAAUAUUAAUAUUAUUAUUAUUAAUAUCUCACAUCCCUUUCAUAAGCAUAGAUUGGGAGUUGAUAUGAAGCUGAUGGUCCAGGUAUCAUCUCUCAAGGAAUGUUUUAAUAUUAAUAUUAUUAUUAUUAUUAAUCAUCUUUAUUCUUGUAAAGUAAAGUAAUCCACAUAUUUUGGUUUGGGUCAAGGCUUUGGGGGUUGAGGAGUGGCUACUUUGGGAGGCCUUUCAAUUGGCGUCAACGGGGAUAUUUCUCCGCCAACGUUUCUUCUCCCAGAUUCCUAUAUUUGCUUCUUUCUUUCUUUUUUUUAUUGGUAAACGAUUGCUAUGUUUGCUUGGUCCCUUUUCAUUGAUUUGUAUUAUAACUUUAUAAAUGUGCUACUCUUUCUCCCAGCAAGAUUUUAAUCAGGCCACUUUAAUCUAAUCUUUUAUUUUAUUUUAGCAAAUUUUGACUUAUGAGCUAGUAAUGCAUUUUAUUUAAUGCAUCGAGAAUAAGCAAUCAACAAAGAAAUGGAAAUGUAAAGAGCUCGUUGCUCAAGUGGGUACAAGAGUGAUUUUACCCUUGGCCGUUUGUUAUGCACUUGCUAGAGGCUUGUGGAACGAUGACCACUAAAUGACUUCCUUUACUAUAACUUGUCUUCCUGAAAGUAGAAAAUACGUGCCAACGAAUUUUGGUCAAUCAAAUCCUUAUACCAAGCCUUCAUCACUUGUUCAAAAAAUGCAUUAUUCAUCUAAUUGAUAUGUGAUAAAUUGGUGAUGAUUAUGCAUUUUAACCGAGUUCUAAGGAAAAUUGAAGAUAGUAAUACAUCAGUACUAAAACUACAAAAUAUUACUGAAUUUGUAUACUUAUUACUUGGGUGCCCUCUGCCUUGCUGUGCUGAAUAACAAUGAGAAUAUAUUACUGAAUUCUAGCAGGAAAAAGGCAGGCCACUCUCAAAAUUUGGUGAAUGGGACGUCAAUGAUCCUGCUUCAGCUGAGGGGUUUACUGUGAUCUUUAACAAGGCUAGGGAUGAGAAGAAGACAGGUGGAAAACCGGAGUCACCAGGAAAGGUUGAUCCUAAUAUCAGGCAUGGAGGAGUGGAUACUGGCACUGGCACUGGCAGGCCUUCGUCUGUAAGAUUUUUUCUCAUAACUCUGUCUCAUUUCUUUGUCUAAUGAUUUGAUAAUAUACACAUGAGACAGCCAAUAGCAAUACAUUCUUUACGGUUUUCUUAGUUGCAAGUUAUUGCUUUUCAAGUGACGUCAGUAGUACAACACAGCAUACCAUUUGAUGUGAAAAUCAAUGCAACUGACUUAUAUAGAACUCUAGUAAGGAAAUGUGGCAAAAGACAGAUCUAAUGUUAGGGCCAAGAUAUUUGAAAAAUAAAAGAACACAAGAUGAUUCGGCUGUUUUAUCUGCAUUAUUCCAUGGGAGUGGAAUUGGCAUACGUUAACUUCACUCAGGUUCCAUCUCCUUUUAGACAGAUGUAGCCUAAUAGGAACAUUUGUUUGUUUUAUUGUGAACAAUUGAAAGAACUAUUGGCCCUUGAAAUAUUUGCUCUUGUCAAUUGAUCAUUGUGUGGCCUUUUCGUUUUCUGUGUCUGCUGCAUUUCCAAUUAGUAGAAUAAUAGAACGAAUAACUGGACGGUAAUUAUUUCUGCUGCCAAAAUCUAAUAUGCUUAAAUUCCUCACUCUUUGUGGAUGAUUUGAUUUGGUUUGAUUUCCUGGUGCACAGAAAAAAUGGUUUUGCAGCAUUCAUCAACCACCAGCAGUUUUGUUGACAAUGUUGUUCUCCUAAGUGCUCCGAUGGAGGAGCACGGUGUUCUGUAACUGGCUCCACUAUAUUUCCUCUCUCACUGUAUGUCUAUGAAAUUGGCAGCCGGGUAAGUGAAGUUUGAAGCAAUGGUUAGCAGUUUGCCUAAGGAAAUCGUACAUGAUAUCCUUUUGAGACUACCUCCUAAAGCUUUGAUGAGAUGCACCUCGGUGUCCAAGCCUUGGAACUCCAUGAUAAAAAGUCCCAGCUUUAUUCGCACCAAGGUAUAAAAUAUCAAUGAUAUCGGAAAUGUCGGUAGUCCAAAAACACGGAAAUUUCGAUGGAAAUAUCGGGAUAUUAUCGAUAUCGAUAAAAAUUGAAUAAAAACCAUGGAAAUUGUUAGAAAAACUUGGAAAUUUUUAUUGAAACUUUGCUGGAUGUUUAUUUAGUCAAUUAUCUAUUAGUUUAUUACAAAAAAUUGGAAGGAAAUGCAUUGCAUGAUAGAUAUAACUGAUUUAAAUUGAUUAUAUAGCGAGCUGGCAAACAUGGUGAGUGUAGAAAAUAUGUAGUAAUUAAUGAAAGAAGUUUAAACACACCAUAAUCAUUUAUAUAUAAUGAAUUAGUACAAUAUUUUACACUUUAUACAUUUCAUGGUAAGAUACAUGAGUGACUUAGCAAGGUCUAAAAUAUCGAUGAUAUCGGAAAUAUCGGUAGUCCAAAAAAAUAUCACUAGUCCAAAAACGCGGAAAUUUCGAUGGAAAUAUCGGGAUAUUAUGGAUAUUUUAGACCAUGAUUCGCACCCACCUCAGCCGUACCAUCGAUUUUAAGCAGUUUGGCACCCACCGACUCCUUCUGCAUUGUGUUAGUGGAGACAAUCCAGUGGAGCAGAAUUACUAUUUGCAUUAUGAUAACCAUGCUUUUGAUGAGUACUGCAAGCUAGAGUAUCCAAGUGUUCCCAAGCGCAAGAGAUUUCUUCGUGUGGUCGGAAUGCGAGGAUCCGAAUACUUUUUAUGGGCUUAUUCACUUGCUAGAGGCUUGUGGAGUAGUCCUUGUUCUUUUGAUCCCGUUUGUAAAGUUUUUUAUUCUUGCAAAUUUCAGGCUUUUGUGAACUGGGCAGUUCAUUGGCUGGCAUGGCGCUGCUUGAACGAUGGUCGUUAUCAAAAUUUCAUUUUAGCAAUUGAUGUGGACGGUGAGUUAUUUUGCGAGAUAAGGGUGCUAAAGAGUUUCAGACAGGAUGAACCAUUAGAUUAUCACUUGUCUGUUUCAGGUGAUGGAAACUCCGUUGCUAUGUUCACGACAACGCGUGGUCGUAAUUGUCCUGAGGAUUUUCUUGACAUAUGGGUGAUGAAAGAGUAUGGCAUCGAGGAUUCAUGGGCCAAACUGAUAACUCUAAGUCCACCGGAUCCGGAAAGAAGGGUGCCCUACAAGCCCUUAUGUUUUAGGAACAAUGGUGAAGUAGUGUCCUGACUUUAUCACUUGUUCUAGUAAAAAACGUCGCAUGUACUGGGAUUUUCUCAGGGAUGCCUUGUGAUAUUCUGACAUGGGUAAAUUGUAGCAAUGGUCCCUCAUUUUUUAAUCAAAUUGGAGCAAUGAUUCGUCAACUAAAAUUUCAUUACCAUUGGUCCCUCAAUUUAUGAAAAUGUGUAGCUAUAGUCAUAUUCAUCAAUUUUGUCUAAAUAAGUUAUGUUGGAAUAAUCAUUUAUAUAAUUAGGGUCCCUCAAUUCAUCAAAGUGUGUAAUUAAGGUUCUUUUCGUCAACUACGUCAAAAUUUUUGUCAAAACGAGUUAUGUUGGACGGAUCAUUGCUACAAUUAGGUUAAAGUUAAGGGACUAUUUCUCCAGUUGAAUUAAAGUUGAGGGAUCAAUGGUAAUAGAUUUUUAGUUAAGAGACCAUAGCUGCACAUUUUGAUGAGUUGAGGGACCAAUAAUAAUGAAUUUUUAGUUGAGUGACCAUUGCUCCAAUUGAGUUAAAGUUAAGAGACCAUAGCUACAAUUUACUCUUCUAACAUUGCUGGAUGUUAGCUAGAGAUGAACAUUUUUCCUUUAGUUUGUCUGUUAAUUUAGAGACCUAGAAGAAGUUGCUUAUCACAACAUGUUGCCAAUGUUCAUGGAUAUAUACAGUUAAAUUAAUUUCUUUGAAAUUGCUUGUGAUAUUUUCGUGCCAAAUAGGAAGAGAAGAAAAUUGCAUAUCUUAUUUUUUUAGCUCUAAUAAGAUUUAUCUAGUCACGAGACUUUUACAAUAACUUUUGCUCCUAUGGUCAACCAAAAUAAUAAUAUUACAGUAGAGACUAGUAGUCCAUUAGUAAUUGUGUGUUCAACUGAAAGCAGCGAGAAAAAUACGUACCUUUUUCUCUUCUCUGUUUUCAAAGAAUUUUUUAUCUUCUUCCUCUGCAACCCUUGCAUGCAGGUUUGGCAGUAAAGUAAGUUUCCGCGCAAUUAAAAUAAUGGCAAACUAAUCUUUCGGUUUCGUACGAAGAUAGGAUAAUUUAUACUAAAUUAUUUUUUUGUCUUUUAUUAAAGAAUACAUUUAUAAAAAAAUAAAAAAAGAAGUUUUAAGUGUUUGGGAUCUUUUAAAUACCAAUUUCAAUACAGCUAUUAGUUUAAGUAACAUAAUUUUUAGUUUAGGUGCCAAUGAAAAAAUCAACUAAAAUAAUUCUAUAAAAACUAUUAUAAUUCAAAAUAAUUAUACGAUUGCCGCGUUUUCCGACCUGCCAACUGUAUUCGCAACCACCUCACCCUUACAAUCAAUCUUAAUAACCACGUUUCGACUGACCUCCUUGUACUGCAUUGUAUUCGCAUACACGAGCCAAGGGAGGAGCAUUAGUAUUUGCAUUAUGAUAAAUAACCAUGAUUUUGAUGAGUACUGUAGACUAGAAUUUCCAAUCAUUCCCAAGGGAGAAUGGUUUAAUACGACCUAUAGACUACAAGAACUCAAAUUCCUUUUUUGUUAUCUUCUGUAAACCAUCCAUUAGAGCUCUCGGCAGGCAGUGACCAUUUUUGAGGAAUGACUAGACACAUGUUGGGGCAUCAUCAUGACAUCAUAGGUGAACAAUACGAUUUCGCGUUUAAGUUUCUCUCUAUAUACAUCGUGUUAACUUUGUUUUUCUACUUUCCUAGCACGUUCCGGUUCGUGUAUUUUCAGUUUUUGUAUAGUGGAAAGGUCAAGUUGGUAGUAGAUUGACAUAGCGAAAAAAUUACUUGUCACUAAUUCAGUUUACCAAGCUUAAUUGGUCUCUCUUAACUUACAAAAUUGUCAUAAUAAGCUAGUAGUUUCACUUCAUGGAAAUCUUGCUCAAUGUUGUUUGACUUGUUUCCCUUCUUAAACAUCGAUCGAGAUGUUCGUUAAUUAAAUGCUAAUAAUACUUGCUCUUCACCUUCAAAUGGAUCAUAAGUUAAUAUAGCUCUGUGAUUAAUUAAGUAGUAUGACUCCAAAAUGGUAAAAGCAUAAUCCAUGAUAAUUUUGGUAAAUCUGAUCUCGGCAAGAUCAUGUUCUUCUCUUCUUGUUGUGUGGCUCACGUUGUUUCAGAGUCUUUUACUGUUUAAAAUUAAUUACUAUUCCACCCGAAGUUUCACGUUUGGGUCCUCUUCUUAUAGCGGAAACGAAAAAGUAUAACCGUGUAGGAUAUUUGCGAUAAGAAAGCAAUCAAAAAGAAAACAAUAUGACCCCACGAAAAAUAAAGAGAGAACAAAAACAAGGAAUCUUUCUUUCUUUACGGGCAGAAAGAUGAAGACAUGUUAGUCUUUUAACACGUAUCGCAAUGGCAAAUUGAAGUAGUUAUCGUCGAAAGAGGAAGACUUGUUAUAGUCUUUCAAGUCGACACCUAAUUAUCCUAGCAAAUUGAUCUGUAAAGUAGUCUACAAAAACUCAAAUUCCAUUUAAACUACCUGUUUUAUUAAAGGAAUAUACUAUCCGCAUAUCUAUUUUUACUUAUCAGACACUCUUUUUUACUUCUCACAUCCCCUUUGUUAACUUUUGUCCUUUGAUCUACUUCAAUUCAUCCGAUCCGACACCGAAAAUUAAAAUGAUGUGUGAGAAGUAAAAAAAGGUGUGUGGAUAUCACACCAUUUUACUAAAUCCUAAAUUGUAUAACUCCUUCAAAUAUAUCAAAGGCGAAUAUGGUACCUUCUGUAAACAAUCCGGUAGAGCUCUCAGCAGGCAAUGAUAAUAUUUAGGGAAUGACUAGACACAUGUUGGGACGUUAUCGUGACAUCAUGGGUUAACAAUACAAUUUGUGUUUAAAUUUCUCUUCACUAGCUUAGUUUUUCUACUUUCCUAACAUGUUCGGGUUCGUGCAUUUUCAGCUUUUGGGUAGUGGAAAAGUCAAGUUGCUGGUAGACUAAGUAGUGAACAAGUAGAUUCACACGGCAAUACAUAAGUCAAAAAUUACUCGUCACUAAUUCAGUUCUACCGAGUUUAGUUUGUCUCUCUUAAUCUUCAAACUUACAUAAUAAGCUAGUAAUUUCACUUCAUGAAAAUCUUGCUCAAAGUUGUUUGACUUGUUUCCUUUCUUUAGCAGCUAGACGUUCAAUUAUAUGCUAAUAAAACUUGCUCUUCAUCUUCAAUUGAUCUAAAAUAUAGCUCUGCGACUAAUUAAGUAGUAUGACUACAAGAUGGUUAACAAUAAUCCAUGGUAACCUUUUGCAGGAUCAUUUUCUUCUUCUUUGUGUUGUGUGGCUUAGGCUGUUUGAGUCUUUUACUACUUUAAAUUAAUUUAAGGAAAACUAAUGAAAAUGACUUGAAAACUUUGAGUUUUAACGAAAAUGACAAAAAUGUGUUGUAAAUGAAUAGUAUCAAUAUUGACUUUUUAGAGUAAAAAUGUGAUUUUUUGUUAAAGUAACAGUACCUUGAGUUUUUCUUCGUUAAAGUUUCGUUAAAUUUAUUGUCUCAACAUUAUCUACAAUGGCCUAAAAAAUUAAUCACCCUUUCAAACUAAUAUAAUCGGUAUUGCAAGAAAUGCAACUCAGUUGUUUACCAGCAAUCACCCUUUCACCCUAAAUUGCGUGUUUGGUUCCUCAUCUCCCAAAAUCGUUCGUAUAAAUGAAAAGAAAAUGUAUAACCGUGUAGGACAUAGGAGAUAAGAAAGCAAUUAAAAAGAUAAAAGAGGAAUCUGUCUUUUUUGGCAGAAAGAGGAAGACUUGUUAUAGUCUUUCAACACCUAAUCAUCAUUGCAAUUUGAAGAGCCUCGACUAGAAGAAAAAGACGUCUUAUGUACUCGGAAUUUUCUCCGGGAUGCCUUGUGAUAUUCUGAUAUUGCUGCUAGAAAUAAACAUUUUUCCUUAAGUUUGUCUGCUAAUUUACCGUCCUAGAAAAAGUUGCUUAUCACAACAUGUUGCCAAUGUUCAUGGACAUAUACAGUUAAUGAGUUUCUAUGAAAAUGUUGUCGAUAUUUUCGUGCCAAAUGUUGAGUGCAUCAUCUAUUUGUUGUAGCCUUAAUUUCUAGUUGCCCUCCAACUUUCAACGUUGCUUUGCUUAAUUGCAAACCUUUCAUCUCUUAUUGUGCUUUCUUCUCAAUAUUCUCACACCUCUAUAAGGCGAGAAGCAAAUUACAUAUCUCGGUUUCAAAGCUUUAAUAAGAUUUAUAUCUCUCUCAUUACAAAACUUUUACAAUAAAUUUUCCUCCCAUGGUCUAUCAAAAUAAUAAUAUUUCAGCAGCGACUAUCUAUUAUCAUAAAUUUUGGUGCAUUUGAAAGCAGCGAGAACAAUACAUUUUUAUUUUAUUUUUUCUCAAAUAAAUUUUUUGGUCAUUUUCCUCUGCAACCCUUGAGUUUCAACCCACUUUAUUUAUAAGAGUGAGGAGAACAAAUUUUUAAACCAAAUUUUGUAAAUAAAAUGAUAUGUCACUAAUAAAAAAUAAGUACGUUAAUUAAUACUUGAAUAAUUUGAUCUCUCUAACAUUAUUCUUAAAAUAAUGGUAAACUAAUUUUUUUAUUUAUUUUUACGAAUGAUAGAAUAAUCUAUUAAACUAUUGUGUUUUUUUUCUUUUUGUGAACAAUAAGACAAUAAACUAUUAUUUCGCCUUUUAUUAAAGAGUACUAAAAAAACGAAGUUUUUGAGAUCUUUUAAGUACCAAUUCCAAUAAAACUUUCAGGGUAAGUAACGUGAUUUUUAGUUUACAAAUAUUAAAAAAAACUAAUGAAAAUGACUUGAAAAUUUUGAGUUUUAAUGAAAAAGACAAAAAUGUGUUGUAAGUGAAUAGUACCAGAAUUGACAUUUUAAAGUAAAAAUGUGGUUUUUUGUUAAAGUGAGCAGUACCGAAAGAGUUUCGUUAAAGCUCCCAAAUACUAAUGAAAAAGUUAACCAAAAUAAAUCUACAGAUAUUAGAGCAAGUCCAUCCCUGAAAACUUUGUGCCAGCACCCAGCGUAUUUAUAUCUCCAUCGGCACCCGGAUGCAGUGUUAAAUGAGCAAGGGGGCUAUAGAAACUUCUUUUCGAACGACUCCACUCAAAGUUGUUUGGGAGCAUAUGCUCCUAUCAACUUUACACGGGACACACAAAAGAAGUACUUUGAUCCUAUUAGACGGGGAAGGGUGAAGAAGCUAGGACAGAAGGGUAGAGUUCAAGAGAGCAAAAUGCGUUUAGGAACGUGGAAUAUAGGAACCUUGACGGGAAAAUCUAUGGAAGUAGUAGAAGUUAUGGUGAGGAGAAGGAUAAAUAUUAUGUGCCUACAAGAAACUAAGUGGGUUGGGCGUAAGGCAAAGGAUCUAGAAAACUCAGGGUUUAAACUAUGGUAUUCGGGCACAAAUAGAACGAGAAACGGUGUUGGCAUCAUCGUGGACAAGACCUUGACACAAGAUGUUGUAGAUGUCAAGAGGGUAGGAGAUAGAAUCAUGGCAAUCAAGAUUGUAAUAGGACAAGAACUUAUCAAUGUGAUUAGUGCGUACGCACCUCAAGUAGGGUUGGAUACGAGUUCGAAGGAGAAAUUUUGGGAAGACCUUGGAGACUUGGUGCAAGGAAUUGCUCAGACGGAGAAGUUAUUUAUAGGAGGAGAUUUAAAUGGACACGUGGGCAGGGAGACAGGCAACUAUGGAGGUUUUCAUGGUGGCCAUGGUUUUGGGGAGAGAAACGAGGAUGGGGAAGCUAUCUUGGAUUUUGCAAUGGCAUAUGAUCUCUUCUUAGCCAACACCUUCUUUAAGAAGCGGGAAGAACAUGUGAUCACCUACAAGAGUGGGUCGUCAAAAACACAAAUAGAUUUUCUUCUAAUGAGGAAAAGGGAUCGUAUAACUUGUAAGGAUUGCAAAGUUAUACCAGGAGAGAGCGUGGCUAAUCAACAUCGCUUGUUGGUGAUGGAUGUACAUAUCAAAAGAGUGAGAAAAAAGAACAAGACUUGGAAGUGCCCAAGGACUAGAUGGUGGAAUCUAAAAGAAGAAAAACAAGCAAUUUUCAAAGAGAAAAUAAUCACCCAGUGUGUGUGGGAUAGAGAGGGGGAAGCUAACCAAAUGUGGGAUUCCAUGGCUAGUUGUAUCCGAAAAGUAGCAAAAGAGGUAUUAGGAGAGUCCAAGGGCUUUGCCCCACACCAAAAGGAAUCUUGGUGGUGGAGUGAGGAGGUACAAACAAAGGUGAAGGCUAAGAAGGAAUGUUGUAAAGCCUUAUACAAGGAUAGGACCGAUGAAAAUGGUGAAAGGUAUAGAAAAGCGAAGCAAGAGGUGAAGAAAGCUGUGAGAGAAGCUAAGUUAGCGGCUUAUGACGAUAUGUAUAAACGACUAGAUACCAAAGAAGGAGAGUUGGAUAUCUAUAAACUAGCUAGAGCAAGGGAAAAGAAGACAAGGGACCUAAACCAAGUGAGGUGCAUCAAGGAUGAGGAUGGAAAGGUUCUUGCUACAGAGAACGCGGUUAAAGACAGAUGGAAAGGUUAUUUUCAUAAUCUUUUCAAUGAAGGACAUGAAAGGAGUGCUUCUUUAGGGGAGUUGAGUAACUCAGAAGAGUGUAGAAACUACUCUUUUUAUCGUAGAAUCCGGAAGGAAGAAGUGGUUGUAUCUUUGAAGAAGAUGAAGCAUAGAAAAGCAGUAGGCCCAGACGAUAUACCAAUCGAAGUGUGGAAAGUUUUGGGAGAGACAGGUAUAACAUGGCUCACUGACAUUUUCAAUAGGAUUUUGAAAACGAAGAAGAUGCCAAAUGAGUGGCGAACGAGCACUUUGGUGCCUAUCUACAAGAAUAAGGGCGAUGUACAAAAUUGCAUGAACUAUAGGGGUAUUAAGCUAAUGAGUCAUACAAUGAAGCUCUGGGAGAGAGUCAUUGAGCAUAGAUUGAGGCAAGAGACACGGGUUUCGGACAACCAAUUCGGGUUCAUGCCAGGGGCGCUCAACCAUGGAGGCAAUCUAUCUCUUACGAAGAUUGAUGGAAAGAUAUAGAGAUGGGAAAAAGGAUUUACACAUGGUCUUUAUAGAUUUGGAAAAAGCGUAUGAUAGGGUCCCAAGAGACAUUCUUUGGAGGAUUUUAGAGAAGAAAGGAGUACGAGUAGCAUAUAUCCAAGCUAUACAGGAUAUGUAUGAAGGAGCAAAGACUGCCGUAAGAACUCAUGAAGGACAAACCGAAAGCUUUCCCAUAACUGUAGGAUUACAUCAAGGCUCAUCCUUAAGUCCUUACCUUUUUGCGUUGGUAAUGGAUGAGUUAACAGGACAUAUUCAAGAUGAUAUUCCUUGGUGUAUGCUUUUCGCAGACGAUAUAGUGUUGAUAGAUGAAACUCAAGAAGGGGUAAAUGCAAAGAUUAACCUUUGGAGAGAAGUGUUGGAAUCUAAAGGUCUUCGCCUAAGCCGAUCAAAGACAGAAUAUAUGGAGUGCAAGUUCAGUGCAAAUGGAGGCCAAAAACGAGUUAGGGGUGAGGAUCGGAGAUCAAGAAAUACCAAAGAGCGACCGUUUUCGUUACCUAGGAUCUAUCUUGCAAAAGAACGGAGAAUUAGAUGGAGAUCUCAACCAUAGAAUACAAGCUGGAUGGAUGAAGUGGAAGAGUGCAUCCGGCGUGUUGUGUGACCGCCGUAUGCCACUGAAGCUCAAGGGAAAAUUUUAUAGGACGGCAAUAAGGCCGGCGAUGCUGUAUGGCACAGAAUGUGGGGCGGUGAAGCAUCAACACGUACACAAAAUGGGUGUAGCGGAGAUGAGGAUGCUUCGUUGGAUGUGUGGGCACACGAGAAAGGAUAAGAUUAGGAAUGAGGAUAUCCGGGGUAAAGUAGGAGUAGCCGAAAUUGAAGGAAAGAUGAGAGAAAAUCGGUUACGGUGGUUUGGACAUGUGCAAAGAAGGCCUACUGACGCUCCGAUUAGAAGAUGCGACUAUGGGACAGAGGUUCAGGGCCGAAGGGGUAGAGGAAGACCCAGGAAAACUUUGAGAGAGACCCUAAGAAAAGACGUAGAGUACUUGGAUCUAACGGAGGACAUGACACAGGACAGAACACAAUGGCGUUCUAAGAUUCAUAUAGCCGAUCCCACUCAGUGACUUGGAUUUUUCCAAGUCUCCAACCGAAAAGUUUGUCCUCGCUCGGGAAAUUAAGGGAACACUACCUCAACCUACAUGCUCCACUCACAAAGCUCCAACAUACAAGCUUCAACAAAAGAAAAUUCAAAGAACUUAGCGAAGAAGGCUUUGGUGAUUUAACACAAUACGUUGAAAUGAAGGAAAGCUUAUUUAUUGAUAUCCCCGAUAAAUUACAAAUAUGUACAUAUACUUGAGUCAAAAUAAACAAACAAGAGGAAGCCUUCACAAAGGUUGCUUAGGAGAAGUCUCGGCAGUCGGUAGAGCCCCAGAAAGAGAAGGCACCGGAGGGGGAUCAUUCGGAGCCUCAGUACUGGACAGAACCCUAGAAGGAGGAGGCAUCAGAGGUUGAUCAUUUGGAGCUUCAUUACGCGGUACAGCCCCAGAAGACGAAGGCAAUAAAUGCCUUUGGAACAAACCCACAAAUCUCUGAUGAUCAAGUAAAACCUGACCAUCAGAUUCCUUCAUCUGGUCAAGCUUCCUCUUCAUGUUUGUAGCAUAGUCAUGUGCGAGCCGGUGCAACUGUUUAUUCUCAUGCUUGAGCCCUCUAAUCUCCUGUUUGAGACUCAUCACUUCAGCCGCCAAUGAUUCAACUUGGCGGGUUCGAGCAAAUAGGUGUUGGGCCAUAUUAGACACAGAACCUGCACACUGAACACUAAGAGCCAGAGAAUCCUUAACAGCCAACUCAUCAGACCGUUUGGAAAGUAGUCUGUUAUCUUUGGGAGUGAGAAGGUUCCUGGCCACUACCGCAGCGGUCAUAUCAUUCUUCAUAACGGAAUCCCCAACGGUAAGAGGACCAGUAUGGGAGACGAAGGAUGGGCGCCAUAUGUUGUCUGGAGAAGGUGGGGCUGCCUCUUCAACAAGGUUCAAGUCAAAACGACGGUCGGAGGGGCCAGACAUUUUCAAAGGUGUAGAAGAGAGAAGAGGUCGGACAAAUCAAGAUCUUAGAAGUGCAAGAAUGGAGCUUCUACUGGUGGAUAUUCAAGUGUGCUUUGGAACUUAAUGUCAACCUCUAUAAAAAUCUGCACUCGACGAAGCUUCAGAAAUCGAAGAGGCGUUUGCUUUCUCAAAAGCUGGGCUGCUCAGAGACCACGAGGGUCGAUCUCAGAAAUCGAAGAGGCGUUUGCUUUCUCAAAAGCUGGGCUGCUCAAAGACCACGAAGGCCGAUCUCAGAAAUCGAAGAGGUUUGCUUUCUCAAAAGCUGGGCUACUCAGAGACCACGAGGGCCGAUCUCAGAAAUCGAAGAGGUUUGCUUUCUCAAAAGCUGGGCUGCUCAGAGACCACGAGGGCCGAUCUCAGAAAUCGAAGAGGUUUGCUUUCUCAAAAGCUGGGCUGCUCAGAGACCACGAGGGCCGAUCUCAGAAAUCGAAGAGGCACCUACUUUUCCAACCUUGUCAGCACCUGUCACACGCACACUCAGCUUUGCGGAAAUUAUGGGCAUUCUAUCGAAGAUUUCUGGCGAAGUAGAAAGCACAUGAAUCGUACUGUUCAAUCACCCACUUCCCACACGCAACAGUAGCUCAUGGGUACCACAUAUAACUUUGCCAAAGUUCUCUGACAAAGUUGAGACUACUUUUCCAGCCUUGUCAGCACCUGUCACACGCACACUCAGCUUUGCGGAAAUUAUGGGCAUUCUGUCGAAGAUUUCUGGCGAAGUAGAAAGCACAUGAUUCGUACUGUUCAAUCACCCACUUUCCACAUGCAACAGUAGCUCAUGGGUACCACAUAUAACUUUGCCAAAGUUCUCUGACAAAGUCGAGACAUGUGAAGCUUGCAACUCUCACUACAUCGCUCUGACCAAGAAGGGUAAAAGAAUAGCAAAGAAACAACACUAACAAAGUUUAGACACAUAAAUUUUGAAGGGCUAGCUACCAUAUUAUUACCCACAAGGGUAAAGGAACAGUACCACUGCUGGAUAAUUGGAAAGUCCCUGUGUGUCAACCUCUGUGCUUCAUGGCAAGGUAGACUAGCAAACAUGCCCAACCUUUACUCACAUUCGAAAAAACACUCCCAACAAGAUUGCUUGCCCCAAAAUCGAUGAGGCAUCGCCUCCGAAUCUCGAGAGCCAGACUCCCAACAUGAUUACUUUCUCAAAAAUCGAAGAGAGGGUAAAGGAACAGUACCACUGCUGGAUAAUUUGAAAGUCCCUGUGUAUCAACCUCUGUGCUUCGUGGCAAGGUAGACUAGCAAACAUGCCCAACCUUUACUCACAUUCGAGAAAACACCCCCAACAAGAUUGCUUGCUCCAAAAUCGAAGAGGCACCGCCCUCCGAAUCUCGAGAGCCAGACUCCUAACAUGAUUACUUUCUCAAAAAUCGAAGAGAGGGUAAAGGAACAGUACCACUGCUGGAUAAUUGGAAAGUCCCUGUGUGUCAACCUCUGUGCUUCGUGGCAAGGUAGACUAGCAAACAUGCCCAACCUUUACUCAUAUUCGAGAAAACACUCCCAACAAGAUUGCUUGCUCCAAAAUCGAAGAGGCACAGCCCUCCGAAUCUCAAGAGCCAGACUCCCAACAUGAUUACUUUCUCAAAAAUUGAAGACACCGCUCUCCGAAUCUCGAGAGCCAGACCCCCAGCAUGAUUGCUUUCUCAAAAAUCGAAGAGGCAUCGUUCUCCGAAUCUCGAGAGCCAGAUCCCCGACAGGAUUGCUUGUUCGAAAACCGAAGAGGCACCACUUUCCCAACUUCAAGAGCCGGAUCUCCUUGGAUAAAGCUUGUCUGUAAUCUUCACACGCAACAUCAGCUUUCCAGAUACCACAGACCACUUUUUCAAAGUGCUCUAACAGAGUUAAAACUUGUGAAGCUGGCAGCUCCCACUACCGUGCUAUGACCAAGGAGGGUAAAGGAAUAGCAUUAUUACUUGAUGUUAGGGAGACUCCUAUAUAUGUCGACCUCCAUCCCCAACGAACAGGCAGACCUGCAAAAAUGCUCAACCCUUCCUCUUAUCUGAGAGGGCACUCCCAACGAAGCCUUUCGAAAUAUUCAGCUUUCUUUCCCCCCGAUAAUACCUCUGUAAACAAGCUAUACUAGAGCAAGAAUAUCUCAUAUCAUCAGGGUUAAAAGCAAGAGUAUCCCAUAUCAUGCUUUUUCCCUGUCUUUUCCUUUGGCCUUGUUCUUACUUGCAAGACAAGGAGAAAAGAGAGCAAUCAGUCAGCACUUGGAAUCAAGCUUCCAGCCAGGAACUGACUGCCUGGAACCCCUUACCCUGGCAUUGCUCUCGAGUACUCAUCUUCAACAUCUUAUGCUUCCAGGGAAGAUACCGCAUCUGCCUGAGGAACAGAUAGGGCAAGUGAGAAGGAUACAAGGAAGCAUGUGGAGACAAGCGUAACAGCACACGUGCCGAUACAUCCACUACUCUGUCAAAAGCAAAAGUAUCCCAUAUCAGCAGGGUCGAACGUACUCUAGAUUUGAUGGACUUGUUUUGACCCUCAAAUUCUUCAGUCGGCCUUAUACUUUGGAGGAAACCAUAAAACCCUCCAGCCCAGUUCAAGAAUAAGCCUGUGGAAAGUUACUUCUUCAAAAGCAAAAGUAUCCCAUAUCAUCUCUUCUCAUUUUUCUUCUCUUUAUCCUUCAUGCUGCCUGCAAGAUAGGGAGAAUGUGAACAAUCAGCCGGAGCUCUGAUUGUUUACCUUGUCUGUUACCUCUUUCAGCAGAUCCCCUAGCUCGGCGACUUGGGGGACUCCUACUACAUGGUUUGUAUCGCGCUUGACCAAGCCUGAAACUACAAGUAAGCUUCAAGUGACAUUGAUACAUUACCUUGUGCAUCUCCACCAGUUACAGAUACCACCCCUGGAUGGAGGAAGAGUACUUCCAGAGAAGAUUCCACAUCUACCUAUGAGACAGAUAAGGAAAGUCAAGACGAUACCACACUCCGGUACUUAGAAGUUUCGUGGUUACGAGAUCAUUCUCCCACAAUAUUUCCUAAUGUCAUUUGUACUAAAUCAUUCACUUGUACUCCCUAAAGGAGAGCUUGAACCUAUGUACUUGUGUAAACCCUUCACAAUUAAUGAGAACUCCUCUAUUCCGUGGACGUAGCCAAUCUGGGUGAACCACGUACAUCUUGUGUUUGCUUUCCUAUCUCUAUCCAUUUAUAUACUUAUCCACACUAAUGACCGGACCAAUCUAGCGAAGAUCACAAAAAGUGACCGUUUUCGCUACCUAGGAUCUAUCUUGCAAGAGAACGGAGAAUUAGAUGGAGAUCUCAACCAUAAAAUACAAGCUGGAUGGAUGAAGUGUAAGAGUGUAUCCGGCGUGUUGUGUGAUCGUCGUAGGCCACUGAAGCUCAAGGGAAAAUUUUAUAGGACGGCAAUAAGGCCAACGAUGUUGUAUGGCACAGAAUGUUGGGCGGUGAAGCAUCAACACGUACACAAAAUGGGUGUAGCGGAGAUGAGGAUGCUUCGUGGGAUGUAUGGGCACACGAGAAAGGAUAAGAAUGGGAAUGAGGAUAUCCAAGGUAAAGUAGGAGUAGCCAAAAUUGAAGGAAAUAUGAGAGAAAAUCGGUUCCGGUGGUUUGGACAUGUGCAAAGAAGGCCUACUGACGCUCCGGUUCGAAAAUGUGACUACGGGACAGAAGUUCAGGGCCGAAGGGGUAGAGGAAGACCUAGGAAAACUUUGGAAGAGACCCUAAGAAAAGACUUGAUUACUUGGAUCUAACGGAGGACAUGACACAAAACCGAGCGCAAUGGCGUUCUAAGAUUCAUAUAGCCGACCCCACUUAGUGGGAAAAGGCUUUGUUGUUGUUGCUUCCUUUCCCUUUCCGGUCCUUUCUUUAUCAUUUAUUUUUUCUGCUUUCUUCUUUCUUCCUUUCCCUCACCAUGUCGGUACCCAGGCUUCAACCUUCACUGCACGAUCGCACGACCUCGACACCCAGGGCUUCAACCUUCACCGCACGAUCGCACGACCUCCGACCAAGACCUCGACACCCAGGGCUUCAACCUUCACCGCACGAUCGCGGAGCUCAACCUGGACCACCUCAACAAGGUGUUCAUGGCCGUCGGGUUUCUGAAGACAUGAAGACGAAGUGGCCGGUGGCGUUCACGAUCGUGCGAUCGCGGAGCUCAACACGGACUCGCUACUGUGAAUGGAGUACAUGAAGACGAACCGGCCGGUGGCGUUCACAAGGUCGACGGGAGACGGCCUCCAGUUCAAACUUCCUUCGGACGCCAUGCUGGCGUCACCAUGGCAUCAGAUAGGCCGGUCCCAAGGUCUGUCGAUUUUAGGCCGGCCUGUGGACUGGCAUGGGCUGGGUGCCAGUCAAUUGGGUCGGCUAGAGCAAAUUCACUGGGUCCUGGCCUAUUUUUUCGGCUGGGUGCUGGGCAAAAAGUCCUCCAGUGGACUUGCUCUUACUAUAUAGAAUUCAAAAUAAUUAUACGAUUGCCAUUUUUUGUUUACCGGUCAACUGUAUUCCCAACGACCUUACCCGCACAAUCAAUCUUGAUAACCAGGUUUCCACUAACCUCCUUGUACUCGAUUGUGUUCGCAUGCAUGAGCCAAGGUAGGUGCAUUACUAUUUGCAUUCUGAUAAACAACAAUGAUUUUUUAUGAAUAUUGCAGACUAGAAUUUCCAAUCAUUCCCAAGGGAGAACGGUUCAAUCAUAACAUCAUGGGCUAAGAAUACAAUUUCAUGUUUAAGUUUUUCUCCACAUACAUCACGUUAACUUGGUGUUUUUUACUUUCCUAGCAUGUUCCCUUCUGUGCAUUUUCAGCUUUUAAAUAGUGACUUAUUAGUGAAAAAGCAGAUUCACAUGACGAAGACAUAAGUAUAAAAUUACUUGUCACUAAUUCAGUCAUCAAGCUUAAGUCAUCUAUUUUAAUCUUCAAAAUUAACACAAUAAGCUAGAAAAUUCAGUUCAUGAAAAUCUUGCUCAAUGUUGUUUGACUUGUUUCCUUUCUUAAACGUUUAGAUGCUCAUUAAUUAUAUGCUAAUAAAACUUGCUCUUCAUCUUCAAAUGGAUCAUAAUCCAAUAUAGCUCUGUUACCAAUUAACUAGCAUAACUACAAGUCUACAAGACAACUUUGGUAAAUCCGGUGCCGGCAGGAUCAUUUUCUUCUUCUUUGUGUUGUGUGGCUCAGGUUUUUUUUCAGUCUUUUACAAUUUUAAAUUGAUUGUCUCUACAUUAUCUACCAUGACCUACGAACAAUUGAAACAAUCACCCUCCCAAAAUAAUAUGAUCGGUGUUGCAAGGGAUUGUAGCUUAGUUGUUUACAAGCAGAUAUUUUUUUAUUUUUUUUAGUACAUCUUCUUUAUGUUAAGGAAGAGAAGAAGUUUGGCUAAGCCACACAAUGAAUAGCCUAAUUUGAUAUCAAAUUCGUCAUCUACAAUAUUCGAACCUAAGGCCUCUACUUAUAAGUGAGGAGGAAUAUCAUUAGAUCGUAGUACUAGGUGUUGCAAUUAGUCAUUUUUUUGUUGAGAAUAAAUCUCAUAUUAAUGAAAUGAGAGACUUUGUAUGUGCUUAUAAUAAGUAGUUGAGGUACUCUCCCUAUUGUCAAAUUUUUUUUGGUGGAACUUCAACAUUUUUCAUGCUAUCAAAACAAGUUGUCUCAUGUAUGACACAUAAUGGCUUUACGUGAUCCAUAUCUUUCGAGUUGUAUUAUUCACAUGUUAAACUUAAAAUUCGUCAUACGUAACGGAACAUAUUAAGAAUGAAUCUCAUAUUAAAAAAAAAAAAAAGACUUUGAAAUCUCAAGUUUAUUCUAUUUCCAUCCAAAGUUCUAUAUUUGAUUUCCCAUCUCCAAAAUCGUUCCUAUAAAGAAAAAGAAAAAGUAUAACGUACGUGUAGGGCUUUGGAGAUAAGAAAUCAAAUAAAAAGACAACAAUAUGACCCCACGAAAAGUACAGAGGGAAAAGAGGAGUCCUUCUUUGUGGGCAGAAAGGUGCAGACUUGUUAUAAGUCUUUCAACACCUAAUUAUCAAAAGCAAAUUGCAGAGUUCGAGAGUAGUCUGGAUCUGUUGAUUUUUAUAAUCUAUGGAAACAAGUCCCUUCAUCUGAAAACUUGUACGCAGUAAGUUCCUCUUGCAACUAUAUAUGCGAAAUUCAUUAUUUAUUAAUGAAUUAUUUCAUUUUUCUUGAAGUUUGUAUAUUUAAUUAAAGAUUUCAUCAAUAACCAGCUAUAUAAUUUGUGCUGUUUUCAGCCUUGAUUAUUCCAUCAUUCGGUCUGGAUUUGUUGACGAUAAGUGCAAACAAGUGCCCUCAUGACCUGACAGGCUUCCAUGUAACUGCUGCUUGCUUCAGAUCAUGCCCAAUAUUUGUGCAACGGUGCAAGUUUCGAGUCUUGAAGCGUAGGGUUGCAAGAAUUCCCCCCUGCAGUUACGGGUAAUCCCAAAACUGCCCAUUUUUUGUCCAGUUCAAAUUUAAGAAAAAUAAUGUUUACUAGUAUAUGAUUUUUGCAAGCUUGAGUUUUUCUUUUUGCUCGUCUUUUAAAUUUAUAUGGUGUGUUUUAUUGUGCUUUAUUAUUUAUUGUGUUUUAUGUCAUCUCAAAUGACAAGUGAAUCAAAUGUACACAAUUAACAAUUAAUGGGAUAAAUUUAUUAAUUGAUGUGACAUAUCACAUCAAAUUGUACAUAAAUAUGGUACAAACAUAUGUGAUUCCCUUAACAUUUUCGGAUUUUCCUAGUAAUAUUAUAUGGCGUGUUAUUGUGCUUUAUACAUACAAUAUCAAGUUUUUUUUUUUUUUUUUUUUUUGCUUUUUAUUGGAACAUACAAUAUCAAGUUAUUAGGGACUGUAUACCUGGUGGUGGGAAGGUUAUGAUGUAGGCAACCUUGAUCUGAAUCCGGCCCGUUGCCAUCCUUUGCUAUUCCCAAAUUGUUAUCUCUAGAUAUGCUUACUAGGAGUCUCCAUUAAUUGAAUAUUAUUUCAAUUUUACUAUAAAUUUAUAUAGGUAAAUGCUAGGGACAUUAAAUUACUUUAGUCUAAAGUAAGGUUUGAAAUUGGCACUAUUUAAAUGAACAGUGUUUCAAUCCGAAUUUCAGAUUAAUUACAACCAUGCCAUUGGUCUUUGUGUUGGUUUUGGGUCAGCAGCCAGGCCCUCAGCCAUGCCCAAAUGUGUUGGUUUUAGCUGGGAAGCCCCGCCCUCAGUGAGGCCCAAAUUGUUAAUUACAAUUUUGCCCAUCUAAGAUUACAAUCCAAUGGUGGAGAUGGUGUAUUAAGAAGGGCAAUUUUGUCCUCUCCGUUUUGGGCGAGAUAGGGGGUCAUCGGGUAGGUAUCAUUUGCUGUCGUUCAAUUAGGGUUUCAGGGAGGGUCUGAGAGAGAGAGAGAGAGACAGAGAGAGAUGGCGAUGGGAGGAGAGCGAGGGGGAGGGGUAGGGCUCUCGGCACUGUUGUUGCGGAUGGGAGGGUCGGUAUGGUCAGAGAAGACCAUAUGGGUCGUCGGGAUUUCAGGGAGACGGGGUAGGGGUCAUCAACAAACCCUAUUGAGAGUGGGGUGUGCUGGAUCUUGCGCUGCAUGCCUCGAAUCCAAAGAUAAGUUCUUUUUAAAAUUGUAUUCUUUAAUGGUGCCUUAGAUUUUCUAAUUGUUUAGUAUGUUAGGUCCGGUUUUGGGGGAUUUGUGAUUUUACAGAGAGAGAUGGAUAGGGAGAUAGAGAUAGAGAGAGAGAGGAGAUAGCAUGGGUGUGUGCAUUUUUUUGAGUUAAUUAAUGGGUUAGUGCGCAUGUCAGUGAGGAGAGUGACAGAGGGGUGAAUGGCAUUGGCAGGGUAUGGGUUUUCAGUUUUUCCCUCUGAUUCAAUAGGUUAUGCACUGUUUGAAAAUAAAUUGUUUAUUGUUUUGUUUUCCGUUUGCUUUGUUAAAACCAUCAUUCGAAUUUUUCGGUUUCACUGUGCUCAUUUCUGUGCUUCUUCAAAAUUUUCUGGUGUUUGCUUUUCAUUCCUAUGUUGGUUGAUUUUUUUUUUUUCCCAUUUCUUGGUUCCUUAUGUAUUUCUUGGUUCUGUCUAAUUUUUUGCUGUGGGAUGAUGCUUGCAGGUGAACCUGAAAACAGCAUACAAGAUAGAGAACUGGUAUGCUAUUUUGUCUUUCUGUUGGAUUUUGAUGUUUAUGUUCUGCUACUAAGAGGAUUUUAUAGUGUUCUAAAUCUGUUUUGUAAAUGUGCUUAAAGAUUGGACAUGUUCUUGAAUGUUAGCCAUGUUGUUUGAAUUGGAUAUGUGAUUGAAUAUUAGGUAUUUAGUUUGAAUUGAUCUGGAUAUGUGGUUUAUUGAACUAGAAUUUGGAUAUGUGCUGAUUUGAAUUGAGUAUGUUGAAUUAGAGAUGUGCUACUUUGAAUUAAGUUGAAAAAUGGCAAGCCAUGGUAUAUUGAAUGUUUUUUUUUGCCCCAAAUUUACAUAAGUCCCAAAGGGUGAAUGUCGUCCCAAAACUUUACAACAACAACAACAACAAAGCCUUUUCCCACUAAGUGGGGUCGGCUAUAUGAAUCCUAGAACGCCAUUGCGCUCGGUUUUGUAUCAUGUCCUCCGUUAGAUCCAAGUACUCUAAGUCUUUUCUUAGAGUCUCUUCCAAAGUUGUCCUAGGUCUUCCUCUACCCCUUCGGCCUUGAACCUCUGUCCCGUAGUUACAUCUUCGAACCGGAGCGUCAGUCGGCCUUCUUUGCACAUGUUCAAAAUCACCGGAGCCGAUUUUCUCUCAUAUUUCCUACAAUUUCGGCUACUCCUACUUUACCUCAGAUAUCCUAAUUCCCAAUCUUAUCCUUUCUCGUGUGCCCACACAUCCCACGAAGCAUCCUCAUCUCCGCUACACCCAUUUUGUGUACGUGUUGAUGCUUCACCACCCAACAUUCUGUGCCAUACAACAUCGCUAGCCUUAUUGCCGUCCUAUAAAAUUUUCCCUUGAGCUUCAGUGGCCUACGACGGUCACACAACACGCCGGAUGCACUCUUUCCAUCCAGCUCGUAUUCUAUGGUUGAGAUCUCCAUCUAAUUCUCCGUUCUCUUGCAAGAUAGAUCCUAGGUAGCGAAAACGAUCGCUUUUUGUGAUCUUCGCUAGAUUGCUCCGGUCAUUAGUGUGGAUAAGUAUAUAAAUGGAUAGAGAUAGGAAAGCAAAUACAAGAUGUACGUGGUUCACCCAGAUUGGCUACGUCCACGGAAUAGAAGAGUUCUCAUUAAUUGUGAAGGGUUUACACAAGUACAUAGGUUCAAGCUCUCAUUUAGUGAGUACAAGUGAAUGAUUUAGUACAAAUGACAUUAGGAAAUAUUGUGGGAGAAUGAUCUCGUAAUCACGAAACUUCUAAGUAUCGGAGUGUGGUGUCGUCUUGCCUUACCUUAUCUGUCUCAUAGGUAGAUGUGGCAUCUUCUCUGGAAGUACUCUUCCUCCAUCCAGGGGUGGUAUCUUUAACUGGUGGAGAUGCACAAGGUAAUGUAUCAAUUUCACUUGAAGCUUACUUGUAGUUUCAGGCUUGGUCAAGCGCGAUACAAACCAUGUAGUAGGAGUCCCCCAAGUCGCCGAGCUAGGGGGUCUGCUGAAAGAGGUGACAAACAAGGUAAGCAAUCAGAGCUCCGACUGAUUGUUCACCUUCUCCCCAUCUUGCAGCAGCAUGAAGGAUAAAGAGAAGAAAAAUGAGAAGAGAUGAUAUGAGAUACUUUUGCUUUUGAAGAAGUAACUUUCCACAGGCUUAUUCUUGAACUGAGCUGGAGGGUUUUCUGGUUUCCUCCAGAGUAUAAGGCCGACUGAAGAAUUUGAGGGUCAAAACAAGUCCAUCAAAUCUAGAGUACGUUCCACCCUGCUGAUAUGGGAUACUUUUGCUUUUGACAGAGUAAUGAAUGUAUCGGCACGUGUGCUGUUACGCUUGUCUCCACAUGCUUCCUUGUAUCCUUCGCACUUGCCCUAUCUGUUCCUCAAGCAGAUGCGGAAUCUUCCCUGGAAACAUAAGAUGUCGAAGAUGAGUACUCGAGAGCAAUGCCAGGUAAGUAAUCAGGUAAGGGGUUCCAGGCAGUCAGUUCCUGGCUGGAAGCUUGAUUCCAAGUGCUGACUGAUUGCUCUCUUUCUCCUUGUCUUGCAGGUAAAAACAAGGCCAAAAGAAAAGACAGGGAAAAAGCAUGAUAUGGGAUACUCUUGCUUUUAACCCUGAUGAUAUGAGAUAUUCUUGCUCUAGUAUAGCUUGUUUGCAGAGGUAUUAUCGGGGGGAAAGAAAGCUGAAUAUUUCGAAAUGCUUCGUUGGGAGUGCCUUCUCAGAUAUGAUGAAGGGUUGAGCAUUUUUGCAGGUCUGCCUGUCCGUUGGGGAUGGAGGUCGACAUAUAUAGGAGUCUCCCUAAAAACAAGUAGUAAUGCUAUUCCUUUACCCUGCUUGGUCAUAGCACGGUAGUGGGAGCUGCCAGUUUCACAUGUUUUAACUCUGUCAGAGCACUUUGAAAAAGUGGUCUGUGGUAUCUGGCUCUCGAGAUUCGGAGAACGAUGCCUCUUCGAUUUUUGAGAAAGCAAUCAUGCUGGGGGUAUGACUCUCGAGAUUCGGAGAGCAGUGUCUCUUCGAUUUUUGAGGAAGUAAUCAUGUUGGGAGUCUGGCUCUCGAGAUUCGGAGGGCGAUGCCUCUUCGAUUUUGGAGCAAGCAAUCUUGUUGGGAGUGUUGUCUCGAAUGUGAGUAAAGGUUGGGCAUGUUUGCUAGUCUACCUUGCCACGAAGCACAAAGGUUGACACACAGGGACUUUCCAAUUAUCCAGCAAUGGUACUGUUCCUUUACCCUCUCUUCGAUUUUGAGAAAGUAGUCAUGUUGGGAGUCUGGCUCUCGAGAUUCGGAGGACGGUGCCUCUUCGAUUUUGGAGCAAGCAAUCUUAUUGGGAGUGUUUUCUCGAAUGUGAGUAAAGGUUGGGCAUGUUUGCUAGUCUACCUUGCCACGAAGCACAGAGGUUGACACACAGGGACUUUCCAAUUAUCCAGCAGUGGUACUGUUCCUUUACAGUUGUGGGUAAUAAUAUGGUAGCUAGACCUUCAAAAUUUAUGUGUCUAAACUUUUGUUAGUGCUGUUUCUUUGCUAUUCUUUUACCUUUCUUGGUCAGAGCGAUGUAGUGGGAGCUGCAAGCUUCACGUGCUCAACUUUGGCAGAGAACUUUGGCAAAGUUAUUUGUGGUACCCAUGAGCUAUUGUUGCGUGUGGGAAGUGGAUGAUUGAACAGUAAGAUUCAUGUGCUUUCUACUUCACCAGAAGUCUUCGACAGAAUGCCCAUAAUUUCUGCAAAGCUGAGUGUGCGUGUGACAGGUGCUGACAAGGGUAGAAAAGUAGGUGCCUCUUCGAUUUCUGAGAUUGGCCCUCGUGGUCUCUGAGCAGCCCAGCUUUUGAGAAAGCGAGCGCCUCUUCGAUUGAUUCGGAGAACGAUGCCUCAUCGAUUUUUGAGAAAGCAAUCAUGCUGGGGGUCUGGCUCUCGAGAUUCGGGGAGCAGUGUCUCUUCGAUUUUUGAGAAAGUAAUCAUGUUGGGAGUCUGGCUCUCGAGAUUCGGAGGGCGGUGUCUCUUCGAUUUUGGAGCAAGCAAUCUUGUUGGGAGUGUUUUCUCGAAUGUGAGUAAAGGUUGGGCAUGUUUGCUAGUCUACCUUGCCACGAAGCACAGAGGUUGACACACAGGGACUUUCCAAUUAUCCAGCAAUGGUACUGUUCCUUUACCCUCUCUUCGAUUUUUAAGAAAGUAGUCAUGUUGGGAGUCUGGCUCUCGAGAUUCGGAGGACGGUGCCUCUUCGAUUUUGGAGCAAGCAAUCUUAUUGGGAGUGUUUUCUCGAAUGUGAGUAAAGGUUGGGCAUGUUUGAUAGUCUACCUUGCCACGAAGCACAGAGGUUGACACACAGGGACUUUCCAAUUAUCCAGCAGUGGUACUGUUCCUUUACCCUUGUGGGUAAUAAUAUGGUAGCUAGACCUUCAAAAUUUAUGGGUCUAAACUUUGUUAGUGCUGUUUCUUUGCUAUUCUUUUACCCUUCUUGGUCAGAGCGAUGUAGUGGGAGCUGCAAGCUUCACGUGCUCAACUUUGGCAGAGAACUUUGGCAAAGUUAUCUGUGGUACCCAUGAGCUAUUGUUGCGUGUGGGAAGUGGGUGAUUGAACAGUAAGAUUCAUGUGUUUUCUACUUCCCCAGAAGUCUUUGACAGAAUGCCUAUAAUUUCCGCAAAACUGAGUGUGCGUGUGACAGGUGCUGACAAGGCUGGAAAAGGCUGGAAAAGUAGGUGCCUCUUCGAUUUCUGAGAUCGGCCCUCGUGGUCUCUGGGGAGCCCAGCUUUUAAGAAAGCGAGCGUAUCUUCGAUUUUUGAGAUCGGCCAUCGUGGUCUUUGAGCAGCCCAACUUUUGAGAAAGCAAACGCCUCUUCGAUUUCUGAGAUCAACCCUCGUGAUCUCUAAGCAGCCCAGCUUUUGAGAAAGCAAACGCCUCUUCGAUUUCUGAGCAGGCGCCUCUUCGAUUUCUGAAGCUUCGUCGAGUGCAGAUUUUUAUAGGGGCUGGCAUUAAGUUCCAAAGCACACUUGAAUCUCCACCAGUAGAAGCUUCAUUCUUGCACUUCUAAGAUCUUGAUUUUUCCGACCUCUUCUCUCUUCAACACCUUUGAAAAUGUCUGGCCCCUCCGACCGUCGUUUUGACUUGAACCUUGUUGAAGAGGCAGCCCCGCCUUCUCCAGACAACAUAUGGCGCCCAUCCUUCGUUUCCCCUACUGGUCCUCUUACCGUUGGGGAUUCCGUGAUGAAGAAUGAUAUGACCGCUGCGGUGGUGGCCAGGAACCUUCUCACUCCCAAAGAUAACAGACUACUUUCCAAACGGUCUGAUGAGUUAGCUGUUAAGGAUUCGCUGGCUCUCAGUGUUCAGUGUGCAGGUUCUGUGUCUAAUAUGGCCCAACACCUAUUUGCUCGAACCCGCCAAGUUGAAUCAUUGGCGGCUGAAGUGAUGAGUCUCAAACAGGAGAUUAGAGGGCUCAAGCAUGAGAAUAAACAGUUGCACCGGCUCGCACAUGACUAUGCUACAAACAUGAAGAGGAAGCUUGACCAGAUGAAGGAAACUGAUGGUCAGGUUUUACUUGAUCAUCAGAGAUUUGUGGGUUUGUUCCAAAGGCAUUUAUUGCCUUCGUCUUCUGGGGCUGUACCGCGUAAUGAAGCUCCAAAUGAUCAACCUCUGAUGCCUCCUCCUUCUAGGGUUCUGUCCAGUACUGAGGCUCCAAAUGAUCCCCCCCUCCGGUGCCUUCUCUUUCUGGGGCUCUACCUGACUGCUGAGACUUCUCCUAAGCAACCUUUGUGAAGGCUCCCUCUUGUGUGCUUAUUUUGACUCAUGUAUAUGUACAUAUUUGUAGCUUAUCGGGGAUAUCAAUAAAUAAGCUUUCCUUCAUUUCAACGUAUUGUGUUAAAUACACACCAAAGCCUUCUUCGCUAAGUUCUUUGAAUUUUCUUUUGUUAAAGCUUGUAUGUUGAAGCUUUCUGAGUGGAGCAUGUAGGUUGGGGUAGUGUUCCCUUAAUUUCCCGAGUGAGGAAAACUUCUCGGUUGGAGACUUGGAAAAUCCAAGUCACUGAGUGGGAUCGGCUAUAUGAAUCUUAGAACGCCAUUGUGCUCGAUCCUGUGUCAUGUCCUUCGUUAGAUCCAAGUACUCUAAGUCUUUUCUUAGAGUCUCUUCCAAAGUUUUCCUAGGUCUUCCUCUACCCCUUCGGCCCUGAACCUCUGUCCCAUAGUCGCAUCUUCUAAUCGGAACGUCAGUAGGCCUUCUUUGCACAUGUCCAAACCACCGUAACCGAUUUUCUCUCAUCUUUCCUUCAAUUUCGGCUACUCCUACUUUACCCCGGAUAUCCUCAUUCCUAAUCUUAUCCUUUCUCGUGUGCCCACACAUCCAACGAAGCAUCCUCAUCUCCGCUACACCCAUUUUGUGUACGUGUUGAUGUUUCACCGCCCAACAUUCUGUGCCAUACAGCAUCGCCGGCCUUAUUGCCGUCCUAUAAAAUUUUCCCUUGAGCUUCAAUGGCAUACGGCGGUCACACAACACGCCGGAUGCACUCUUCCACUUCAUCCAUCCAGCUUGUAUUCUAUGGUUAAGAUCUCCAUCUAAUUCUCCGUUCUUUUGCAAGAUAGAUCCUAGGUAACGAAAACGGUCACUCUUUGGUAUUUCUUGAUCUCCGAUCCUCACCCCUAACUCGUUUUGGCCUCCAUUUGCACUGAACUUGCACUCCAUAUAUUCUGUCUUUGAUCGGCUUAGGCGAAGACCUUUAGAUUCCAACACUUCUCUCCAAAGGUUAAGCUUUGCAUUUACCCCUUCCUGAGUUUCAUCUAUCAACACUAUAUCGUCUGCGAAAAGCAUACACCAAGGAAUAUCAUCUUGAAUAUGUCCUGUUAACUUAUCCAUUACCAACGCAAAAAGGUAAGGACUUAAGGAUGAGCCUUGAUGUAAUCCUACAGUUAUGGGAAAGCUUUCGGUUUGUCCUUCAUGAGUUCUUACGGCAGUCUUUGCUCCUUCAUACAUAUCCUUUAUAGCUUGGAUAUAUGCUACUCGUACUCCUUUCUUCUCUAAAAUCCUCCAAAGAAUGUCUCUUGGGACCCUAUCAUACGCUUUUUCCAAAUCUAUAAAGACCAUGUGUAAAUCCUUUUUCCCAUCUCUAUAUCUUUCCAUCAAUCUUCGUAAGAGAUAGAUUACCUCCAUGGUUGAGCGCCCUGGCAUGAACCCGAAUUGGUUGUCCGAAACCCGUGUCUCUUGCCUCAAUCUAUGCUCAAUGACUCUCUCCCAGAGCUUCAUUGUAUGACUCAUUAGCUUAAAUACCCCUAUAGUUCAUGCAAUUUUGUACGUCGCCCUUAUUCUUGUAGAUAGGCACCAAAGUGCUCAUUCGCCACUCAUUUGGCAUCUUCUUCGUUUUCAAAAUCCUAUUGAAAAGGUCAGUGAGCCAUGUUUAUACCUGUCUCUCCCAAAAGUUUCCACACUUCGAUUGGUAUAUCGUCUGGGCCUAUUGCUUUUUUAUGCUUCAUCUUCUUCAAAGCUACAACCACUUCUUCCUUUCGGAUUCGACGAUAAAAAGAGUAGUUUCUACACUCUUCUGAGUUACUCAACUCCCCUAAAGAAGCACUCAUUUCAUGUCCUUCAUUGAAAAGAUUAUGAAAAUAACCUCUCCAUCUGUCUUUAACCGCGUUCUCUGUAGCAAGAACAUUUCCAUCCUCAUCCUUGAUGCACCUCACUUGGUUUAGGUCCCUUGUCUUCUUUUCCCUUGCUCUAGAUAGUUUAUAGAUAUCCAACUCUCCUUCUUUGGUAUCUAGUCGUUUAUACAUAUCGUCGUAAGCUGCUAACUUAGCUUCUCUGACAGCUUUCUUCGCCUCUUGCUUCGCUUUUCUAUACCUUUCACCAUUUUCAUCAGUCCUCUCCUUGUAUAAGGCUUUACAACAUUCCUUCUUAGCCUUCACCUUUGUUUGUACCUCCUCAUUCCACCACCAAGAUUCCUUUUGGUGUGGGGCAAAGCCCUUGGACUCUCCUAAUACCUCUUUUGCUACUUUUCGGAUACAACUAGCCAUGGAAUCCCACAUUUGGCUAGCUUCCCCCUCUCUAUCCCACACACAUUGGGUGAUUACCUUCUCUUUGAAAAUGGCUUGUUUUUCUUCUUUUAGAUUCCACCAUCUAGUCCUUGGGCACUUCCAAGUCUUGUUCUUUUGUCUUACUCUUUUGAUAUGUACAUCCCAUCACCAACAAGCGAUGUUGAUUAGCCACGCUCUCUCCUGGUAUAACUUUGCAAUCCUUACAAGUUAUACGAUCCCCUUUCCUCAUUAGAAGAAAAUCUAUUUGUGUUUUUGACGACCCACUCUUGUAGGUGAUCACAUGUUCUUCUCUCUUCUUAAAGAAGGUGUUGGCUAAGAAGAGAUCAUAUGCCAUUGCAAAAUCCAAGAUAGCUUCCCCAUCCUCGUUUCUCUCCCCAAAACCAUGGCCACCAUGAAAACCUCCAUAGUUGCCUGUCUCCCUGCCCACGUGUCCAUUUAAAUCUCCUCCUAUAAAUAACUUCUCCGUCUGAGCAAUUCCUUGCACCAAGUCUCCAAGAUCUUCCCAAAAUUUCUCCUUCGAACUCGUAUCCAACCCUACUUGAGGUGCGUACGCACUAAUCACAUUGAUAAGUUCUUGUCCUAUUACAAUCUUGAUUGCCAUGAUUCUAUCUCCUACCCUCUUGACAUCUACAACAUCUUGUACCAAGGUCUUGUCCACGAUGAUGCCAACACCGUUUCUCGUUCUAUUUGUGCCCGAAUACCAAAGUUUAAACCCUGAGUUUUCUAGAUCCUUUGCCUUACUACCAACCCACUUAGUUUCUUGUAGGCACAUAAUAUUUAUCCUUCUCCUCACCAUAACUUCCACUACUUCCAUAGAUUUUCCCGUUAAGGUUCCUAUAUUCCACGUUCCUAAACGCAUUUUGCUCUCUUGAACUCUACCCUUCUGUCCUAGCUUCUUCACCCUCCCCCGUCUAAUAGGAUCAAAGUACUUCUUUUGUGUGUCCCGGGUAAAGUUGAUAGGAGCAUAUGCUCCCAAACAACUUUGAGUGGAGUCGUUCGAAAAGAAGUUUCUAUAGCCCCCUUGCUCAUUUAACACUGCAUCCGGGUGCCGAUGGAGAUACAGCGACCCUUGCUCACUUAUCACUGUGCUCAGGCCACACAGCGCGCCACUUACGGGUGACGCCCUAGCUUUAGCGCGAUUUUGUUCUGGAUUCAUUUUCAUAAGGAUUCGACGUGAUCAUGGAGUGCCGGCUGUCGACUACCUGACGCCCUCCCCCUCCUCCUUUAUCCGGGCUUGGGACCGGCCAUGUAAGACAUAGGCGGAGUUAUCAACCAAAACUUUAAAAGAAAAUAAUUAGAAAACAUGAUUCAGGAGAGAAAUAACAAGUCCAUCACGUAUUAGAAAAUCAGUUUUGCCCAGUGAUCGAAAUCAUUACAGGAUUAAAAACUAGAAUCCGACUUUGGAAGAACUUCCAUUCUCUUCUAAAACAGCUUCCACCAACGACAAACGUUCUUGCAGAUGUUUAACUGCACAUAGCAAUGGAAAAAGAUAAUAGGUCAGAAGUUAAUAGUUUACACCCAUUUUUCAAACACGGUGGUUGUUUGUUUUGAACCUACACCAGGUUCACCCUGUAUCAGCGGUUUCCCAGUCACACUAGUAUGAACAUUAGAUAUGAGUUUGAUAACACAAAAAACUAGUAGAUUUGUGUAUGCCCCCUUGGGAACUAAUUCUGUGUGGAAUUUUGUUGUAUGGGCUAUGGAGUAAAUACAUGUUGCAUGACGUGACUUGUUCGAGUUCAUUAGAGGGUCGUGGCGAUGCCCAUGGAAAGACAAGCUCAGGUCCUUUCCAUGUUCUUUUGUGAUCUUUGUUUCACAGUUGGAACGGGGGAGGUUUUGAUUCUGUGAUGAUAUUUGGGUUGGGAUUCCUAUUUCAGUGUCAUUUUCUGCCAUCUGUAUAGGAUCUCUUUGCCAUAAUUAAUCACCCCAAAAAAAUUAUUUGCAUUUGAUUCUUUGCAUAAACUUAUCUUAUGAAUAGUUGAGUAUGCUUUAAUGUCAAUACUAAUUUGUCCGUGACUAUGUCUUUGGUUCUCUAUGUUGUGUAUGGACCAGGGAAUUUAAAUUUUAAAGUGCUAUAUAACUUAUGCUAAAAUAUGUUUGGAAUACCCUAGAAAAAUUAGAUAGAGGCUUGAAAGGACUAGAUCCAGUACAUUUGAAAGAGCUCUCAGUACAAGACAACUUUGUUAAGUGUUUUUGUAGUGGUGUUCUAAUAGCAGCUUCGUAGUUUUAGUCUAAUGUUUUUGUUGUACAUUUUUAACAACCGAAUCUAAAAUCCCUCCGUACUUUAAAGUCCCUCCUCCAGACAUCACAUUAGAGAAUUAUAACUAUUCAACAUCCUUGGUGCAUUGGCAGAUUAAUGAUUGUAUCACGGAAUUUUGGCUAAGUUCCUUGAAUUAUUGAACCGUUAAUGCUUUCCAAAUGUUUUACUUUGAUUCAUUGUCUCACAUUUUCCAUGGUACAAGUUUACAUGAUUGCAAGCCGAUAGAAAGAGAUAGAUGUAGGGAGAAGUGGGAAUUGGGGGAGAGAGAGAGUGAGUGAGGGGUGCGGUUGCUUUUUAAAGAUUUCCUUGAAAUUGUUUCUGCAGUUUUUUUUUUUGGGUGGAUUUUCUCGAGUUCUUUCUAUUUGUUUGGAAUUGUUUCAUUUUUACUGAGAUUCUUUUGGUCCCUGUCACUAAACUCUGAUUUCUACUAUUAAUUGCUGCUGAAAUGUGACUUUUGCUAUUAAUUUUGUAAAUUAAUUAAGAUGCUUAAUGUUCCCUUAAUUGUGAUUAAGAUGGUCACAAUCCUACCAUCCUCUGUAUGCUCUGCCAUGUCCGCCGCCAAUGUUUUAUGUUCCGAUUUUUACUUUUUAAUCCUUUCUUACAACAUUUAAAUAAUCAGGUUGAAAUAGUAAUUCUAUUUUUCGACAAACGAUAGGUUAAAUUGUUAGUUGUUAUGAGAGAAGGAGAUCGUUUUAGAGAUCAAACCCGCAUCAAAAUAUAUGAUGAUUUCUGCAAAUGCGAUCAGCAGUUGCAUUUUACAAUAUACAACUUCAGUUAGCAUCAGUUUCUUAAUGAGUGGCAUGUGAAUUCUUAAUUUAAUUUCGGAAAAAAAUGCAUUUAAAUUUGGUGGUAUGUGAUGAACUUAGCAUUCUGUCUUUUAUUAUAUACUGGUGAUGGACAUUUUUAGCAUAUUGGAUUUAUCAUUUUCUAUAAAAUGAAGCUUCAUUCUCGCUAUGUUGUUGAUGUUUUUUUGUGAUUUCAGUUUAUAGUGCUUCUAAAUGCUGUUUUAAUUUAGGAAUUUGAAUAAUUGUUUAAAUGGGAUUGGAGGGUGAUAAAUAUUUCUAGCUAGGGAAAGGUCGCAUCCAUGUGUUGGUCGAAUUGAUGGAUGUAAAAAAUGAAUAUGGCAAGGUGUAAAAAAUGAAUAUGGAUGAACGUUUAGCUACUGCAUGUAGAUUCAGCUUUCCUUUGCAUUUGAGUGAGUUGGAAACCGAGUGGAACAGUUUGAGAGAGGGAGGGACGGAGGGAGAGAGAGAGAGAGGACGAUGUUGGGAUUUUGGUAAAGAUUUGAGCUUUAGUGGUAAGCAUGCUGAUUUGAGCUCACAGAAAAACCCAACAGUAUGUAGAUUGAAUUGAGUUGGGAACUGAGUGGAAAAAUGUUAGAGAGAGGAUUGUGUAUAGUUCUCAAAGCUUCUUACGUUGUUUUCUGAUGCAUCUUUGAGCCACUGGCCUUAGGUGGAGUCUUAUACUGCAAUAUUAUGUGCUAAUCUAAUAAACCCUGCAACUUAUUCGUCUUUGUCAUGAGUAAGUUUUGGUUUUUUUCAUUGGAAUAGGGAUUUAGUGGAUGAUUGUUUUUAACGCAUAUUAGUUAAAAUGAGUUGAGUAUUGGGUGCCAAUCCCAUGUCUGCAAAUCACAGUAGCCUAAGGAAGAAACACUGUCUGCACGAUCUAUAAUACCUAUUCACGCAAGAAUCUUUUCCCAAACUAAAAAGCUUACAUUUCCAAACGUGUAAAGGAUGGGCCACUAUCAUCUUACUUUUUCAAUACCUAAACCAUGCAGUGAUGCAUGGGCUGGAUAUUGCUCCUUUCAAGUUUCAAACCAUUAAAUGCUAAAGAUUUCUGGAUAAAUCAUCGUAGAAGUCGAUUCUACAGAUUCCUUCUUAGUUACACUCAGAUGAUAAUGUAUUUAUUGUCCUUGACAUGUUUUUAAAGUUUGCAUUUUCAAUGUAUAUUUCAUUAACUAAGCUUUAUCAGCGGAAUAUCAUCGCAAAUUUGUUACGGAAAAUGCUAUUGCUAGAUUCUGAUAUAUCUACUUUAGUUUUAAGGAUUACACAUUGUUUUACGAUAUAAAAUAGAUGUUCUGCCUUGAUUUGAUGCGGGGGUAUGCAUUAGCUAACAUUAAUUCUGCUUAGUAUUUCUCAAAUUCAUUUUGGGUUAAAAAGUUGGAGCUUUGGAUCGGGUUUUUUCUUUAUUCAUGUUGGAAGAAUACAUGCAAGUCAUAUCUUGUGUUAAAAUGCAUGCAUGAAAUAAACUUGUUGGAUGACUAGUGAAGUUAGGCUAGUCAACAUUCUUUGUGUAAAAUGCAUGCAUGAAAUAAACAUGUUGGAUGACUAGUGAAGUUAGGCUAGUCAACAUUCUUUGUGUAAGUUAAGCAAGUUAGGCAAGUUAGGCUUAUGUCUACUUUCUUUUCCUAUAUAUAUGUUUCAUUUGUAAUUGUUUCUUCAUGAAAUACACAUAAAAAAUUCUACAUGGUAUCAGAGCAGGUUCAUUUGUAACCUGUCUCUGCCAUUCUUGCUGCUGCAAUUUUUUCUUUCUUUCAAAGUCUAAGUCAUGACUGAAGAAAGUUCUGUGAACCAUGAUGAGGAAACCCGGCACAAUCUCUCUCCAAACUUCUCAGACGUUGAGGUUAACACCAAUCAACGUUUGUGUUCAGUUCUCUUGAACGAGUUCAAUUAUCUUCCUUGGUCCCGAGCUGUUUCACUAGCUCUCGGAGGCAAAGGGAAGUUAGGGUUUGUAAAUGGAAGCGUGGAAGCUCCAGACAGUUCUUCCUCUACAUACAAUGCAUGGCUCUGCAAAGAUCAACUUGUCAUGUCCUUGCUGCUCAAACACCAUGGAGAAACAUGUUGCUGAAAUUUUUAGCUACUCCAAUUCCGCACAUGAUCUUUGGAAAGCUUUGCAGGAUAUGUAUGGAAAUCAAAACAACUAUGCACGGGUCUUCCAAUUAAAGAAGGACAUUGACAGUGCUCAACAAGAAGGGAAAGCAUUUGUUCAACACCUUGGGAGCCUCAAAGCCAUGUGGAAUGAGUUGGAUGUAUAUCUCCCUCAUACCACAGAUCCUACCAUUCUCCUAAAACGAGCUGAGGAAGACAAAAUUUAUCAGCUGUUAGGGAGUUUGAGCUCUGAGUACGAGGACCUAAGGAGUCACAUCUUGAUGAGUCAAGACCUGCCUACCUUCAACAAUGUUUGUGCAACUAUCCAACGAGAAGAAGUAAGGAAGAAGGUUAUGAAUGUUGAUCACAAUCCUAGAUUAACGGAGACUCGGGCAUAUGCAUCAAAGUACAAGAACUCAUAAGCCAAGGUAUACAAGGGAAGAAACACACAUCUAAAAUGCAAAUAUUGCAAUGGUGUUGGUCAUGAGGAAGACAAGUGUUGGGAACUUCAUCCUGAACUCAAGCCUAAGUUCAGCAAAGAUGGAAGGAUGAUACCAAGGUCCUCACAACAAUUUCAAACCUCAUUUCAAGGCACAACUUGCUAAUGCUCACGCUCCUACUAUCUCACAAGGAUCCAUGGAGUUCACUGCCAAUCCAUUGUCAUUAAUCAAUGAAUUUGCAGCUUACCUACAAAGUAAGGGGCACGGAGGAGGCUCAUAUGGUCAAGGCAAUGAAGAGGGUAGUCACACACACAGCUAUGUUGGGACAAUUUGCCGGAUUUCUUGCUGGAAAUGAGAAAGUUCCAAAGGGAGAAGCAUCAGGUAUACUCAAAGCCUUUACUACUGCCCUAUUAACUAGUACUGAAAUUGAUUGUUGGAUAAUUGAUUCAGGCGCCACAGAUCAUAUGACAAACAAAGUUACAAAUUUACAUCAUUUUAAAAAAAUUUCAAGCCCCUCACAUGUGUCUAUUGCAAAUGGAAAAAAUGUCUUAGUUUUGGGAAAAGGAGAAAUAAACUUACUCUCUCAAAAAACACCUUCCACUGCCCUCUAUGUACCAACCUUUCCCUUCCAACUUUUGUCAAUUGGAAAGAUCACCAACACCCCUAAACUGCCGUGCUAUUUUCUCACCAAAUAAAGUAAUGUUUCAGGAUGUUCUCACCAUGAAGAUGAUUGGUGAAGGGGUCUUCAUAAAUGGACUUUACUACCUGUGCAAGAAUGCAUGUUUCACUCAGGCUCUUCAAGCUCAAUCGAAGUCCAUAGAUGAAAACCAACUUUGGCAUAGGAGAUUAGCUCACCCCUCUGAACUUGUCUUGUCGAAACUGUUUCCAAAUUUUUGUAACCCCUAUCCUACUUGUGAUACUUGUCAAUUUUCUAAGUUUACUAGGCUACCUUUUGGUAAUUCAAUGUCUAGGACAAGUAAACCUUUUGAAAUGGUACACACCGAUGUAUGGGGACCUGCAACUGAAUCAAUGGAAGGUUUUAAAUAUUUUGUUCUAUUUGUUGAUGAUUUCUCUCGAACAAGUUUUCUAUAUCUUAUGAAAUCAAAAAGUGAAGUCCCUACCAUUUUCAAAGACUUUCACAUGCAUGUUAAAACGCAAUUUCAAUCAAACAUUAAGGUUUUAAGGUCAGAUAAUGGCACUGAAUUUCUAUCCAACAACAUGCUUCAAUACAUAAGUUCUCAGGGUAUCAUACAUCAAACCAGCUGUGUGGGGACUCCCCAACAAAAUGGAGUAGCCGAGAGGAAAAAUAGAGAUCUCUUGGAAAAAACUCGUGCUCUCAUGAUUCACAUGCACGUUCCAAAGAAAUUUUGGUCGUUUGCCAUCCUUACUGCCACUUAUCUCAUCAAUCGACUUCCAAGUCGUGUGCUAGGGUUUAAAUCUCCUUAUGAAGUUCUCAAGGGGAGGAAAAUAGAUUUGACACAUCUCAAGGUGUUUGGUUGUGUGUGUUUUGUUCACAUCCAAACCUUGAACCGUGACAAAACUAGAUGCCAGGGCAACCAAGUGUGUGUUUAUGGGAUACUCGACCACUCAAAAGGGAUACAAGUGCUUCAAUCCAGUCACUAAGAAGUGCACAGUUUCAAGAGAUGUGAAGUUCGAAGAAGACUAUCCCUAUUUUACAAGUCAGGGGGAGGAUUUAGUUGACAUGUUCCCACUCCCUCAAAACUUUAAUUAUCCGAUGUUGGAAAAGAGAUCAGUCAUUGUAAGUCCAGAUUGUGAAGAAGUUCAAACUGACCAAAUUACUGCCAGUGAAAGUGAAGACGAGCCCUACUCUGAUCCUUCUCCGCCCUCUACAGAGUCUCAGGUGAUUAAAAGAAAUCCUCCUCGAAUCAGAAAACCUCCAGCUAGGUUGCAGGACUAUGUUACAUAUGCCUCACGACAUCCAAUCAAUGAAUGUAUCAGCUUUAGUAAGUUCUCAACAUCUCAUGCUGCAUUUCUCAGUGAAAUUGAUAAGCACUAUGAACCAAGAAGCUUUCAAGAAGCUUCUCUUCUCCCACAAUGGAACCAAGCCAUGAAAGAAGAGAUUCGUGCACUGGAAGAGAAUUGCACCUGGAGCCUAGUUCAACUACCACCAGGAAAAAAGGCUGUUGGAAGUCGUUGGAUUUACAAGACUAAAUUCAAAGCUGAUGGAUCUAUCGAGAGACACAAGGCUAGACUUGUUGCUCGAGGUUUCACCCAAACCUUUGGUGUAGAUUAUAAGGAAACAUUCGCACCGGUGGCCAAGAUGAACUCAGUCAGGGUUUUACUGUCAGUUGCAAUCAAUUGUGGAUGGUCACUCUACCAAAUGGACGUGAAGAAUGUUUCCUUCACGGCGAGCUGCAGGAAGAAGUGUAUAUGCAACCUCCUCCAGGCUAUGAUGGUAUUAAAGGCAACAUGGUUUGUAAAUUGCACAAGGCAAUAUACGGAUUGAAACAAUCACCAAGAGCUUGGUAUGCCAAGCUCAGUUCUGUUCUGGAAAAGGCUGGAUUCAUGCGAAGUAAUGCUGAUUCUUCGUUAUUUGUAAGAACUGGCACCAGGGGGAAGUUGGUGGUCCUCGUCUAUGUUGAUGAUCUUAUCAUCACUGUAGAUAAUACCGUGGAGAUUGAGGCACUAAAACUCUCACUACAUCAAGCUUUCGCUAUCAAAGAUUUGGGGAGGUUAAAGUAUUUUUUGGGGAUCGAAAUGGCAACAUCUUCAAAAGGACUGUUUCUACAUCAACGGAAAUAUGUAUUGGACCUCCUUCAAGAAGCAAAAAUGCUUGACUGCAAGCCUGUUAUCACUCCCGUUGAUUGUAAACUGAAGCUCAGCAUAGAUGGAGAAGCCAUGCAUGAUGUAAGCUACUAUCAACGAUUAGUAGGCAAGCUCAUAUACCUCACUAUCACUCGUCCAGAUAUCACAUAUGCAGUGAGCUUGGCUAGUCAGUUCAUGCACUCUCCCACUGUUGAUCACCUUAACCUUGUUAAGAGAAUCCUUCGUUAUCUUAAGGGUUCAAUUGGGCAAGGAAUUACAAUGCAUAACAAUCAGUCCACUGUCAUUAGUGGCUACACAGAUGCAGACUGGGCAGGUAAUGCAAUUGAUAGGAAAUCAAUCACAGGCUAUUGUACAUUUGUUGGUGGAAACCUUGUCACAUGGAAGAGUAAGAAGCAACAGGUAAUUGCUCGUUCCAGCGCAGAGGCUGAGUAUCGAGCCAUGGCAGCCACUGCGUGUGAACUCAUUUGGCUUAAAGGGCUUCUUUCAGACUUAGGGUUUCCUAGUUCUACUCCUAUGAUGCUUAUGUGUGAUAAUCAGGCAGCCAUGCAUAUUGCUGCCAAUCCUGUGUUCCAUGAAAGAACCAAACAUAUUGAAGUGGAUUGUCAUUUCAUCAGAGCUCAAGUUCAAACGCAAAUCAUCCGGACCAUGUUCACACGAAGCCAUGAUCAACUAGCAGAUCUUUUUACAAAGGCACUAGCAUCAUCUCAGUUUCAUCGGUUAUUGGGCAAGCUUGGCUCAGUGAAUCCCCUCGAUCCAGCUUGAGGGGGAGUGUUGGAAGAAUACAUGCAAGUCAUAUCUUGUGUUAAAAUGCAUGCAUGAAAUAAACAUGUUGGAUGACUAGUGAAGUUAGGCUAGUCAACAUUCUUUGUGUAAAAUGCAUGCAUGAAAUAAACAUGUUGGAUGACUAGUGAAGUUAGGCUAGUCAACAUUCUUUGUGUAAGUUAAGCAAGUUAGGCAAGUUAGGCAAGUUAGGCUUAUGUCUACUUUCUUUUCCUAUAUAUAUGUUUCAUUUGUAAUUGUUUCUUCAUGAAAUACACAUCAAAAAUUCUACAAUUCAGCUAUCAUUUUCUGCUUAGGAGACUCUCUUAAACUGUGUGAAACUGUGCUCAUUAGGCUGGGCAGAGCAAUGACAAGCUAAAAACAAAACAAAAACAAGCAGAAUUAUCACAUGUAGUGCAGGAUAAAUUCUAAACGACCCAAAUCUGGAUGGUAAAAUACUUGGAGUUGGAAUUAAUAGGAUCGAUUGAAACAUGGAUUUUUUUUUUAUUAGAUUGGUAUAUCUGACUUAAUUAAGAAGUUGUUUAAGACACAGUCAUUAGGGAAUUUCUGUAAUUGAACGUAGUUGUUUUCAUGAGGUUAAAUACAAUAAGGUGAUUCUAUGCCAAGAAGUGAUUUUAUAUGGACACAUUGUAUGAUGUAAAAUGGUAAAAGGAGUACCUGUUCCUGUCCAGCCUUAUGUUUUCUGAGUCUUGCUUAUUUUUCAUUAGUCAUAUGAAAGAUGCUGCAAUAUCGUGGGAUCAAAAUAGCUAAGAAACUGGACGUGGACAUCUUUAUUCUAUAGAGCGUAUGUAAAAGUAAUUUAGACUUUAUUAGUUUAUAUUAAUCCUUCACUUCUGUUCAUAUAUUGUAAUUUCUAUAUGGUUUGUCCACAUUUGUCUUAGGAGACUCUGGGGCUGCUUAAAUUUUAUAUAUUCAGUUGCAUAGAGUCGGCAUGACAUGCACAGCGAUUGUCAGAUUGCCACCCUUAGUUGGUGAUAUUUUCUUUACAACACAUUCAAAUUGAGGAUUUAGAAAAUCUAAUAAUAAAACUCAAACAUAUGUUCGAUGCUUUUUGUUUUCAUUUUCGGUUAAAAGGUUUCAGCUUUGGAUUGGGAUUUACCUUUAUUAAUCUAUAAUUUUGUGCUCAGGACACCAUCUUGGGGGUCUUAACAUGAUUGUUCUUCUAUUUCAUAGACUCAAAACGUGUCUAGUGUUUCAUUGAAUUGGUAUACCUUUGCUCAUUUAACUCAAAUUUAAUACGGUUUGGUCCUCCAAUUUCUCUAAAUUGCCAACGGAUUUAUUUUCUUUGGAAAUUUCAGGAACUCUGGUUGUGGUAGGAACAAGCCGGCUCCUUGCUAUUUUUAGGUAUAUGAUUAUGUGCCCUGAUUGCAUGUUCAAAGUCUAAUUAGUUAUAUAAACUUUUAAUUUAUCUUUGCAAAGCUUUUGUACUUGGAUUUUAGUUUAGAUAUGCGAUUUGUUUGUGAAAAAUUAACGAGAAGACUAAUCAUGGGGACAUUCUUAUUUCUGAAAUUUUCUCUUCAGCAUUGUUUCUUGAAUAAAUUUGGAUUGGUAGAUGUAGGGGUAGAGUAACCCCCGUGGUGUAAAUAAAAGGUAUAGGCGUAAUGAUUUCUAGGUUUAGAAUUCAUUGAAAAAUAUGAUAUAAUGCUGCGUUCUCUAAUAUUUUUUUUUUUUUUGGCUGUUUGCUGUUCUAAACUUUUGAACUCCUUUUUGGAUUGAUCUUUGUUAUUUUUGUUUUUGGGGGUAUCUGAUUGGUCAAGGUUGCCCAAUCUUGGUUGUACUUUUUCCCAAGACAGGGCACAUUUGAAACUUUGAAUUCUUGAGUUUAUAUUUUAAUUCUCAUUAGUUAAUGCUUAAUAUUUGGCCUUUUAUUUUGAGAUUAGAAUGAAUACGUUUGGCCUGAAAGACAGUAAACUGAAUUAAAAGCUGGCUUAUUUUCCAUUGGCCAUCAAUUAGGGUGAGAAAACAUUGAAUUGAGAUCAUUAAACAGCACUUAUAUAGGGCACUAUACCAAAUGAGCUCGAAGAGGACUCAGCAAUUGAAGAACAAUUGAUGGCAUACACCUUGGACAUGAUUAAGUUAGUUGAACAUUAUACUAUAACAAGUACAUAUUUCUGGAGUCAGUUUCACACGCAGACACGCACACACACAUCUGACGUAAAGUUAGUCUAUUAGAUGGUUUCCAGAUUGACCCCCCCUUGCCAAAUCUAUUUCAAGGCUGGAAGGAGAGUUAAAACAUAUGUUAUUGUCUUAUAUGUUUGUAUUUGAAUGGUAACGAUGUUGUUCUUCUGGUGGAAAAUUUUUCCUUUGAAUCCAUUUCAGCUUAGGCUCUACUUUUUUUUUUUUCAUUUCAGCUUCAUUUUCAUGUUCAUCAUGUCCUGUUGGUAUGUGUUUUGUGUUGGCAUUGGAGGGUGGUGGGUUGUCGUUUUGUUUUUCUUUUCUCUGAUUGUAAGACCUUCUAACGAUUGAAUUUAUUUUAUGCUGAAACACUCAUUUUGAUCCCCUAGUUUGAGUUUUUCAGUUACGUAUCAAUACUUAACUGCUGGAUUUUUCUUAAGGAAAUUGGAUAUAGGCUAUAUACUAUGUGUAAAAGUCAUGGAGAUCAAGUUUUGUGCUUUCAUUUGUCACAAUGCAGUUUUUUGUUUUCAUAAAUCAAGUUUUGUGCUUUCAUUUUUCUUUUAAAUUUUAAUUUGUCUUUCAAUCAGUUUUUUGUUUGAGAGAACUCUUAAUUUUCAUGGAAAUAUAGUUAUUUGUGAAUAUGGAAACUUGAAUCUGUGUAGACAUCAGAGUUCUUAUGGUUGUGAUAUGAAAUUUAAAUACAAACUUCCCAAUUUGUUUUUGGAAUUUUAACUAAACUUGCGUUGUAGGUAGAUCAUGCUAUUAAGAUAACAAAAAAAUAGGUAGAUUUGUGUAUGCAAUGAGUUGUAGUGAACAUUUGGCAGUAAUAGAAAUGGUUUAGGUGUGCACAGUUUUGGCCUAAAUGGUUAUCACACGAGCGUAAAUGUUUGUUUCAUUUGUGAUUGAACUCGAAUUUGUUGGAAAGCUUUUCAAUUUAUGAAUAUGGAAAGCUUUUCGUCUUUACUUCUAAACUUAUUUUCUGCUUGGUUGUUGAGAAGGUGAUGGAAAUAUAGUUAUCUGUUAAUAUGGAAACUUGAAUCUGUGUAGACUCCUUGGGUUGUCUGUUGUGUUCAGUGGAGGUUUAGUGUUUUAAUUUUGAAUGAUUUGUUUUUCGUUUCAUGGAAAUGACCUAUUAUUUGAUUUAAUUGAGUAAUUUAAUGGAAGUAUAUUCUCUUUUUUUUCUUUUCCAUAUUUCGUUUUGUCUGCAACCAAACAGGGUAAGGAACUGUAAUCUUUUUAAUUACUCUGCUAUCUCCGUGAGUUAUGAAAAUCAGACCUUUUGUUUUAUUUCUGUAUAUGUAGUUCCGAAGGAAUCAAGUGCCAAAAUUAGAAUAAACAUCCUUUAGUCAAGUUACGCACUUUUCCAUAGAAUGUUUGGUUUAGGGAUCCCUUAUACAAGCACAAUAUUCUUAUGUAUUUAAAUCGUAGUUGACCGUCAUGGUUUAAUAAGUGUGAAAACUGUCUUUAAGUCUUAACUAUACCAUUGGAGCGAUACAGUUUUAGUUAUUUUAUUGGAUCCGUUUGUUAGCGCUUUGAAUUCUUACUCUGAAUCUCACUCAUUUUUUGCAGUUUAGAUUGGACUCUCAUCACGGCAUUGUAAUCUGCUCUUGCUGCUGCGAUUAAUCUAACGGUUCUGAGGCGUUGCAUUUGAAUCAAGACUUCGGUAUGCUAGCUGAACUUAAAUGCAUUCUUUUCCCAUUCUUUCCGUUUGAGGCAGCGCAACUUUAUGAUCUUUUAUAUUGAUUGUUUGGUUUGAUCACCUUUUGUUAUUCGUUUGCUUUAUGCUUUGUUUUUCAUUCUUGGUUGUCUCUGUGAUUGUCUCAUUGUCCAGAGGUCGGAUGGUUAGUUUUUUAUUUUUUUUGUUCUAAUUUUGUUUGUGCAAUUCCGUUAUUGUUUGAAGGCCCGUUGCUAUCUCUGUGAUUCUGGUUUAACCCGGUGCUCUUAAUUCUUUAUCGGAUGUUGUUGGUCAUUUUAUCUCUUUUAUUUUGUAUUGGUUGGUUGGUGUUUUCGUUUGGUUUUCUGAUGGUGAACUAUCUCAUCCUCCCCGAAGUGUUUUAACAUGUUUUGUUGAUAAUUGCGCUCUCUAAACGAACUCGACAUUUUUUUAGAAAAAUCACAACUUCCAUAUUUAAGAAAAUGUGUGGCUUUUUAGCAAUGCAUGAAUGCAGCUAAGAUGUUCUGAAAAAUUCAUGGAUAUUUUACAUUCAAACCACAAGUAUCAUUAACUUAUAAAUAAUUAAGUUAUGUAUUUUCUUUAUCGGCUAUCACUUCAAAAUUUGAACUAAAACACUGUCAAAAAGCUUUUUGGUUGUGUUUUCCUUAUUCAUUAUGUAAGUUUCGCAAAUCUUCUACAUGCUGCAUAUUUUUUUGUUUGAACAUCUAUGGUUGACGAGUUACCUGCUCAAACGCCACUUUUUCUGUGUUUUGCUAACUGCUAAGUGAGUUAUGUAGGUUGCAAAGCAUAUAUUUGGCCGUCUUAACUGCAGGGGCAAAAUAUGUGUGAAUUGCAGCUUCCUUCUGUUUCUACAGUUUCAUAUAUGGAAACAGGCCUUCUGUUUUUUUUUUUUUUUUUGCCUUUGAACAAUUAUGGUUCCAAAAUUAGCUACUUGAACAAGUCCUCAACACUUUCUGCUUUAAAUUACCUGUUGAACUAGCUGCCUACACUGCAGGACACAUGUUAUGUGUGAACUAAAUGUUUCUUCUUUUUCUUAAGCAAACGGAAAUUGUUUGGAAACCAUCUCUUUCUAAUCAAACACGUACAGUUUCUUCCCACUCAUUGUGCAUUGUGUUUAUAUGCCAACUCACUUAAAUAUGUAUAACAGCACAAUUGCUUAUCUUAUUGGGCUCAUUCACUCAUGUAUCCCUCUGUUUGUUUGUAAUUGUGUUGAAUUUAUUCAACUUAAAUGUGUUUUAUCCAUCCGAUUACGUCUGAAACAGUGGUUCCCGCAGCAGCGUGCGGGCGUAUUUUCUAGUUUUUAACAAAAUUUUGCAAACUAAAUGACACGAUUGUUGAUGAGUGGAUUAUUAUUUUAGUGUUGAUUAACAUGCUUAUUUUAUUGUGGUGACACAUCAUUUAGUUUGCAAAUUUAGUCUCCUUGUCAUUACCUAUUUGUGUAUGAUGGCGGAGGCAUCAAUAAUUAGUUCUCACCAUUUGAAUUUGUGCAAUUGUGACAACAGAUCAAGCUUCCAAAUCUCCAAGGAACUAGUCUUUGACUGUUGAUCUUCCCUUCGUCGAGUCUGUAUUUGUUGAUCAUAAGCGGAGUCAGAUUUGAACUUCCCUGUAAGUUCUUAUUAUUCACUGAAUAAUACAUUAGUUGUUUCUCAUUUUAUUUGAACUACUUUUUAUUCAUUUGUUUCUUCACUUAAUUUGUGCAGCUCUUCACCUCAAUAUUGCUCAAGAACGCUUCCUUAUUUCUUUGGUUGCUUGGAGUUCUCAGCGCUCCUAAGAUGCCACUUGGAGAGGUUUUUCUUGCGGCGUUUCUACAGUUGCUGCUUGACAGGUUGACCCCUCGCGACAUUCUCAACUACUUUGGAAACUUCCGGGGUGUUGGAAAGAAGCUGGAGAAGUGGAGGGCCACGUUAACUACAAUCGCAGCAGUGCUGAGCGACGCCGAUGAAAGACAACGGACUGACGAUGCUGUAAAACUAUGGCUCAAUAAUCUCAGAGACCUUGCUUAUGAUGUCGAAGACAUGUUGGACAAAUUUGCGACUCAAAUGUUGAAGCGCACGAUAGAGGGACGUGAUCAAGCCAGCACGAGCAACAAGGUGCGAAACUCACUUUUCAAAAUUAAAUUGAAUUGGAAUAUGAACUCCGAAAUGAAGAAGAUUACGGAGCGGUUACAAGACAUAUCUGACCGAAAAGUUAAGUUUAGCUUGAAAGAUACUGGGACGUCUGCUAAGGAAUCGCGAAGUCUACCAUGUUCAGGCGUGUUAGAUGAAAAGCUUCUUGUUGGAAGAGAUGGUGACAAAGGGAAGAUUAUUGAAUUGUUGAAAAAGUCUACCAAUUUUGGUGUGGUUGCUAUAGUUGGCAUGCCCGGAGUUGGGAAGACGACACUUGCUCAACUUGUAUUCAACAACAAAGAUGAUGCCAUGAAGGAGUUUGAGCUCAAGGUCUGGGUAUCUGUGUCCGAUGACUUCGAUGUUGUGCGAGUGACAAAGGCAAUUCUUGAAUCAAUGAAACCCCUACCCGUUCAAGUGGAGGAGUUUAGUAAAAUGCAGCAUGAUUUGAGUGAGCAAUUAAGAGGAAAAAAGUUUUUAAUCGUUUUAGAUGAUGUUUGGAACAAAGGUGACCGUGAUCUAAACGAUCUCUGGUUAAGACUUAAAUCCCCUUUUGGCGUCGGAGCAGGAGGAAGUAAGAUUAUUGUGACAACCCGUGAUUUAAAUGUUGCAAAGAUUAUGGGAGCCACUGGAUUUCAUAAUUUGGAAUGUAUGGCAAAUGAUGAUUGUUUGGAAAUAUUUGAGCGACAUGCAUUCGGGGAAGUUAAUAGUGGAAAACCAGUAAAUUAUGAGUUAAUUCGGACAAAAAUUGUUGAAAAAUGUUGUGGCUUACCAUUAGCUGCGAGGACUCUCGGUGGUCUUUUACGUUGCAAAGAAACAGAUGAGUGGGGAGAAAUAUUGGACAACAAACUAUGGAAUCUCGCAGAUAACUGUAACCUUCCCCGCGUACUAGAGUUGAGCUAUCACUAUCUUCCAUCACAUUUGAAGAGGUGUUUUGCCUAUUGCUCAAUACUUCCAAAUGACUACGAAUUUGGGGAGAAGCAGCUCGUCCUUUUGUGGAUGGCAGAGGGUUUGAUUCAACAAAAACCUGACAACAAUAAACAAAUGGAGGAUUUGGGCCGCGACUACUUUCGAGAGCUAUUAGCAAGGUCGCUGUUUCAAGAAUCAAGCAAAAACAAUUCACGAUAUGUAAUGCAUGACCUCGUUUCUGAGUUAACACGAUGGGCUGCAGGAGAAAUAUGUUUUAGGUUGGAAGAUAAGCAAGGUGAUAACUUGCAAAGCACUUGCUUUCGAGGGGCUCGCCAUUCGUCUUUCAUUGCUGGUGAAUUUGAUGGAGUUAAGAGAUUUGAGGACUUUCCAAAAGCUGAACGUUUGCGAACAUUCCUGCCACUUUCGCUUUCAUAUUCCACGGGAUGGUUAAAAUUUUUGUCUCGUCAGGUUACUUUUAAGCUAUUACCACAGUUGCAAUACUUACGAGUGCUCUCGUUCAAUGACUACAAAAUAACUGCGCUGCCAGAGUCAAUCGGUGAUUUGAGGUUGUUACAGUAUCUUGACCUUUCCUACACAUAUAUAACUAGUUUGCCUAAAUCGAUAAGUACUCUUUACAACUUGCAGACAUUGAUAUUGGAACACUGUUACUAUUUGAAGUCAUUGCUUGCGGACAUGAGUAAUUUAAUUAAUUUGCGCCAUCUCAACAACUCAUAUGUAUCUUCGUUGGAAGGAAUGCCUCCAAAUCUAGGUAGCUUGGUGAAUCUCCAAUCUUUGCCUAAUUUUGUGGUCAGUGGUGGAAGUGAUCAAUCAGGAAUAAGAGAGAUAGGGCCCCUAUCGCAUCUCCGAGGGACAUUGUGCAUCUCAGGAUUGGAGAAUGUGACUGAUGUCGAGGAUGCCAGGAGGGCCAACUUGAAAUGCAAGGAGAGGCUUGAUUCGUUGGUCCUAAAAUGGUCUCAUUCAAGCGACACGAGAGAAACGGAAUCCGUUGUGCUUGACAUGUUAGAGCCUCAUACAAAGCUCAAGGAGCUCACCAUCAAGAGUUAUGCCGGAGAGGAAUUUUCAUCAUGGGUUGGAGGUCCUUUGUUCUCUAAUAUGGUGCUUGUGUGCUUACAGAAAUGUAACAAUUGUUUAUCGUUGCCUCCUCUCGGACAAUUGCCUCAUCUCAGGGAACUUUAUAUUAGUGGAAUGAAUGCAGUGGAAAGUGUUGGUGCUGAGUUUUAUGGAGAGCGUAUGUUGCCUUUUCCGGUAUUAGAGACUCUUGAGUUUGUGGAAAUGCAGCAUUGGAAGGAAUGGCUUCCUUUCCAAGCCGAUCACGAAGGUGGUGCUUUCCCUUGCUUGAAAACACUCUUAGUAAAAAAAUGUUCUAAACUGGAGGGUAAACUGCCAGAGAACCUCAAUUCUUUAGCUAAGCUUAAAAUUGUUGAAUGUGAAGAAUUAGUGGUUUCAAUUGCCAACUGCAAACAACUUCGUCAAUUAAACAUUGACGGUUGUAAAGUGUUGGUGCAUACAGCUGCUAAGGUUGAGUUUGAGUUGUUAGAGUCCUUGUGCCUUUCAAACAUUUCGGAGAUGAUGUCUCUGCAAACAGGGGAGUUGUUGAAGAAGGGAUUAACCAAGGUUAGAGAUUUGAAGAUCAGUGGAUGUGAGGAGGUGACGUCUUCACUGAAGAAUGAGGAGGGUAGAUUAUUGCAGCAGUUGACUUCUCUUGGCAGUUUGGAAAUUGAAGACAACUCUCGUCUAGUUGAAGAAUUGGGAAAAGAAGCUGAGGAGUUGCAAAUAUCGGAGUGCAAGCUUGAAUUUCUGGAGUUAAAAAAGUGCGAAAAUCUUUCGAAGCUACUAAAAGGAUUAAAUCAGCUGUCGUCUCUUCAAGAGCUUCGCAUACACGAAUGUUCAAGUCUAGUUUCUUUCCCAGAUGUUGGUCUACCUUCUCUUAAAGACAUCCAGAUUACAUCGUGCGAUUCGUUGAUAUAUUUUGCAAAAUUCCAGAUUCCCCAAAAUCUCAGAAGAACAGAGAUAAAAGAUUGCAAAAGUUUGAAAUCACUAGUAGAUGAGGAGGCUGUUGGUUCUUCUUGGUCGUCUUUUUCUCAUAGUUGUCUUGAGUAUUUACGUAUCCGAGGUUGUGAAUCUCUGAUGUCGUUAUCAUUGAGUGGCCAGCUUCCCAGGACACUUAAACACCUUGAUUUAGAGAAUUGUGACCGACUGGAGCUAAUCGCAGGGGACGGGUUCUUCCGCGACAACACUAAUGAUUGUCUUGAAUAUAUUAGGAUCUGGAAUUGUCAAAAUCUGAAAUCCUUACCGGAUGGCUUAUGCCACCUCAGCAAUCUUCAAACUCUAGGUAUUGGGAACUGUGGAAGUCUUGUUUCCAUCCCGAGACUGAGUGGGGGGAGAAGACCCUCCAACCUGAGAAAGAUCUGGAUCAUCGGAUGCAACAAAUUGGAGGCGUUGCCCGAAGACAUGCACAAUCUCAACUCUCUUGAGGAAUUGAGCAUCGACUACCGUGAAGGUUUGACUUUUCCUCCCAACCUAACAUCACUUGAAAUUGGGAAGGUCAAGAGCUGCAAGUCAUUGUGGGAGUUGGAGUGGGGGUUGCACAGACUCACCUCUCUUAGGGAGUUGGGAAUCCGUAGUACAGACCCGGAUACGGUGUCGUUUCCACCCGACAUGGUACGGAUGGAGACGCUCUUCCCCAAAUCUCUCACUAACCUCUCAAUAGAUGGCUUCCCGAAUCUGAAGAAACUGAGCAGCAAGGGCUUUCAAUUCCUCAC
rnacentral:lncRNA from 1 species